GUGUCAUCAUCUAAUACGUGCUUUUAAUCUAGUCAUUAUAUAUACGGACCACAUGAAUCUCGAGUACUUUAUGUCAACAUGUGUUUUGAAUCAUCGCUAAGCCUGUUGAAGCAUGUUUUUAUCAAGAUUUGAUUUUAAAAUCACAUAUCGACUUGAAAAACAACAAUGUUUGUUAGACGCCUUUUCUAGACAUUCUUAUCUUGUACUAAAAGAAAGAAAUACAUCUUUUGAUUAACAAACAAUUAUUAUCUUGAAACUAGAGCAUUUUCAUCUUUGAGUAAUGAAAUCAACAUUGACUGUCAAUUCCACCCUUGUAAAACAAAUCCAAUCAAGUAUGUCUUCUGAUCCUCUUGUUCACAAUAUCAAGAAUUCUUCUUCUAAGUUCCAAGAUACUUCUAAGUUUGAGUUUAAAAAUAAUUUAUGCUAUUCCGAAGGUCGAUUAUAUGUUCCAAAAGGAGAAGUACGAUUAUGUGUUCUUCAAGCACAUCACAACUUUCUAGCAACAUGACAUUUUGGAUACAACAAGACUUUAGAGCUUAUAUCUAAAGAUUUUUGGUGGCCACAAAUGUAGAAGGGUGUAAAAGACUUUGUUCAGUCAUGCAACAUUUUUUUAAGAUCAAAAACUCUUUAUCAUCAACUUUAUAGACUUCUUCAACCAUUACCCAUUCUAGAACAACCAUGGUCUUCUAUUUCUAUGGAUUUCAUCAUAGAUCUUCCAAUCUCAGGUUCUUAUGACUCUAUAUUCAUGAUAAUAGAUCAUUUUACCAAGAUGGCACAUUUUGUACCAUGUACAAAAUCUAUUACAAGUGAAGAAACAUCUAAACUCUUUCUUGACAAUAUCUAUCGCUAUCAUGGAUUAUCCAAGGAUAUUAUAUCAGAUAGGGGAACUCAGUUUCUAUCAAGAUUUUGGCAGACUCUUUUGAAGAUUCUAAAAGUGGAUAUAAAAUUAUUUUUGGCAUUCUAUCUUGAAAUUGAUCAACAAACGGAGCGUAUUAAUCAAGUUUUGAAGUAAUAUUUAAGAUGUACUAUCAACUAACAAGAAGAUGAUUGGACAACUCUUUUGCCAUUGGCAAAGUUUGCUUAUAAUAACAUAAUACAUUCUUCUAUAAAAUAAACAUCUUUCUUUGCCAAUUAUGAUUAUCAUCCAUUACUUGAUACUUUUGACUUUUUAGAUGUUGAUAAUCCUAACGCAAAAGAUUUUACAAAUUGUUUGUUAAAGCUACAUGUAAUAAUGAAGGUGUUGUUAAAAGAAGCUCAAGAUCAACAUAAGAUUAUUGCAGAUGUCUAUCAAAAAGAACAACCACCAUUCCACAUGGGUGAUAAGAUAUGAUUACUUUAUCGUAAUAUCAAGACUACUCGUCCUUGUUAUAAGUUGGACUAUUAUAAGCUUGGACCAUUUUUUAUUUCUAUACAUAUCAAUCUAAUUGCAUAUUGUUGAUACCUACUGGAAUCAAUAAAAAUCCACAAUUACAAAUCCACAACUACAAAUCCAACUCUUUCUUGUAUAUAGCAAUCAUAAGUUACCACAACAUGCUAAUUGAAUCUAAUACAAUAAGAGUCAAAGUUUAAUUUAAUUUUCUAAUAAUAUUGCCAAUACUUAUUAAAUUUAAUUUGAGAUCUUAAUAACAACAUAAUAUUAAUUGAAUAACCACUUAUCUCUAACUUGGCAAUCUAAUUUACUCCAAUUGUUGUUCUUCUUAAUCUCCUUAGAAAUAUCCACUUCCAUUCUAAUACAAUCUUAAUGACUCACUCAAAAUACUAAAAAGCUUUUAAUUUAGAAGCACAUGUUUUAUUCUUUAAAAAUCCAAUUCUUCCUAGUUGGUGAUAUCUUCCCAAUUGGAGUGGAUUUUUCUAUUGGAAUUUCUUCUCAUCUUACAGGAUGUUUGGUUAUAAGCAUAACAAUUUCGUAUUGCUAACUAACAACUAUUGUCUAACAACCUGCUAGUAAACUAUUUGAUAUCUUCCCAAUUUGUCGGUGUUAAUUUUAAUCUUCAUUUUUGCCAUCUUGGGAUUUUAAACAAAUAGUAUUUUUUUCUCCAAGUCGAUUCCAAGAGCCUCUGCCUCCAGAUUUCAAAAACCCCAUAAUAUCAUAUUCAGAGAUAUGAGUCAGUUCUGUGAACAUCAUAACAUAAAUCUCAAUGAGAUUCCCACCUUAAUAAUUACAGCAUGUCGAAUAUUUAAAUAUCAGGAACUCUUGAUACUGAUUGGCUGCCAAUCAGUCCACACUCUUCAGACCACCUUGCACCUCUCAUGUCGCUAAUACUUCUGAUGUUCGGGGAAUCGCCACUAAGAACACUUUAUUGUUAAUACUAUUCCUAGAGUUUUUGACACUAGAGACACCGGAUUUCUCCAAUAGUAUCAAGAAUUUCAUCCUUGCAGAUUCACCCGCCACUUCACAGUCAUAAAGUACCGUUAAAAUAUCUGAAAAACUUAAUUACAGUGUAUUUUCUUUGUCUUAAGAAUGCGUGAAAUAUCCUCUCCUCUUUCGGCAGCUUUCAAAAAAUAAUCAUCAACCUCAAUCAGAACGUCGAGCAGGUCCCGAUCACUACUCUUCAUCUUGUCAACAGCCAAAUCCAUUUCGGUUUUCAAAACCGUAUUCUCCCGUUGUUCGAGCUUCAAAGGUUUCCUCGAUACAGGCGCCUUCACUGUCUUCACUGAUUUUGGAUUUGUCGAUAUUUGGUCCUGAACCUUCGACAAGGAUUUUGGAAGCUUCUCAGGUUCAAGUUUGGAGUUCCUGAUGUCCAAACAUCCUUCACUCCGUUCGAGUCCAGUGAGCCAUUAUACGUAGAACGCAAACUCGAACAGAAGGAGAAUACGGUUUUGAGAAUCGAAACAAAAGAAUGUCAACCCUGGUAAAAAAAAACUCCCAGUUCAAGUCAGAUUGUACUGAUCAACCUGUCCCAUAACUAUAUCAAAAGGUAUAGUUCUGAGAAGCCAAUAGACGCAAAAGCAUCAUGCAGGGAUAGAUCAUCUGAGCGUUCCAAGUGUGGCGAACUUACUCCUGUGUGAAGUCUUGAUCCCGCCAUAGUCCACUUUCAGGAUCUGUCUCCGCUGAAAUUCUGUCUACUUUGUUCCCCUAUCUCAAGACAUUCCCUUGCUUCCGUUUCAUGAUUCUUUUUGAGUUCUGUGUAACUGAAUGUUGAGGAUAAAAAUCGAAAUGAAUCUACAAACAAAUCCUGCCAACUAACCGAGCGGCGACGGGUGGAGGAGAGUUAAUCUCUCUGGCAGCAUGUGAUAGAGUCAGACAGGAGUAUUUACAAUCAUCAUCGAGUUGAAUGGGUUGAAUCAAAGGUAGAGGGAGAAUGUCCUCCAAUUUGUAAGAUCCUCGUACGCAAGAACUUGGAUUGCCUUCAAACUUGUAUGUGUUUUGGUUGAUACGGACAGGGGAAUAUUUUCCAUUCGGUUCUCAUUCGCAAUAAGUGGAGGUGGAGGCGGCAAGAAAUCCAUGCUGUAACUCUCUGGAGAACUAGCAGCUGUUGAAUUAAGUGAUCGUGUCGCUGAUGGAUUUCUUUGAAGCGAUGAGUGAGGAGGAAAAGCUGUUGUAAAAUCACGAGAAAAACCAUAUGUAAGGGACAAGGCUGGUAACAAGGGAGGAGGGCCUGGUGACAAGACAACUGUCCUCGAAGUCAUUGGUGCUUCCGGAGGACACAUCAUGUCAGCCCCUGCAUCCUUCAUCUCCUCUCCCUCUGCAAAUUGUCGGAAAGCUAAGCCAACUCCUUUAAGAGAAGAAAUUAAUUUAGCGUGUGAAGCUGCGAAGUUACGCCGAUACGCUACAGUUUGCUUCACCAAUCGCUUCCUCUUCUUGCAUCUUGGUUGUCGACUCUCGAGGUAGAGCAUCCCAUUCUGAAAAUUAUCCUGCAAUAUUUGACUUCCACAGCACAGGAGAAUUCAAAUAGUAAGACAGAAAGCUCUGCUGACACGUAAAGGAACUUUCGCGUGCUGAAGCUACACUGUAACACUACUGAGCACAUCUCUUCUGCUAAUCGGUCAAUACUUGAGUAAAUUUAUGAAAUGAGUAACAGCGGAGUACAGGGACUCACAGUCUGAACUUGCACACAGAAGGGAGGUUCGCCAACAAACGCAAAGAGACAGCACUUAAUAGAAAGAGCUGUAAACUGAACAAGCUCAUCGUCACACAUAACUGCACAAUGAAUACGAAAGCUUAAUAUUGUCUCAGUUUCCACUCCUUACAACUUGCUAAAGCAGGCUAUUAAAAACAAAUCUAUUACUGAGCAAGGUUCAUUGAUCGCCAUUUUUGGGAUGGACUUAAGACGUUUGGAUCUGAACACAUUGACGUGGUUGAAACUCUAAGGAUGUCGGCUCUACAUCACUUCGCGUCAAUGGACAGGAACUAAAUCGGCAGUCACAUUCAAGGAAACCUCUGUCGCUUUCACCGACUUGAACUUUCUUAAGUAAGAACCACUACGAAAACGUUAGCACUACUGAGAGCUUAAAUCAGAGAAUACUUUAGAUAAUAAUUCUCAAUUCCAAUUUGCCAUUGAAAGCUUGGGAUUUCGUCUGGCUCACCGUCAUCGACAGAAACUAAGGACGAUAUUGCGUUCAAAGUCAUAAACAUUGCAACGUACACCAAGACCUGCACCGAUAUUAAAAGCAGCGGCAUUAAAGAGUUGUACCAAAUCAGCAAAUGGAUUUGAUAAGAAACUCUCACUCCUAUUGAUAGAUGCCCUCAAAAAUAAAAAAACGCACUUAUGCCACUGCUUCGGGCAUCAAAGAUAUUACCGAGGCAACUCUGCGUCGUGAAUUACUUGAAACUACGUCAAAUCAAGGAAUCGAUUUCACUAGUAUUUUCAUAACCUAUGUUUUUUUUUUAAAAUAAUAAUAAUAAGAAUAAUAAUAUUGUAAUUGGUUUUAAAAUUUUAUCAAAAUUAAAUUGAUCAAUAAAUCCAUUGAGUAUUUUAGAUGAGACUCGCAACAACAGUUGAUAUAAGAUUUGAUGCAUGUGUAAAAUAUUUUUUUAGAAAAAAAAAAUAAGAUAACUGAUAAGUACAUGAGAAACUUAAAAAAAAAAAAAAAAAAAAAAAAAAAUCUUCAGGAACUAGACUAAUUGAACAUAUUUUAGAAGAAUAUUUAUGUAUUCAUAUAUUUAUAUAUGUGUAUAUAUAUGUUCAAUUACAUUUUAUUUUUGUGUAGCUGUUAUUUUACGUUUAACGCACGUCUAAGUGAAAGAAAAGAAAAAUAUAAUGAUAUACUACAAUUAUUAGGAAAAAAAAAUCAAUUUGUUGACAUUUAAGUAUUCUUUAGCAAAUUAAUUACCUAACUUUUAAUUAAACUUGCAUUGAAACCUGCAAGGGAUUUUUUAAAGUCUAAAUAUAAAAUAAGUCACCAUUUGGAUAAACUGGAUUUUGCAUUUGGCCAAAAAAGAAGAGAGAAAGAAGCGAGAGAAGACAAUGAAGUAUGGAUGAGUAUGAGGCAAUUAUAGUAUUAUACAAAUAAAAAUUAAAAAGCAUAAAAAUUACUAAAAAUAUAUAAAUACCUUUAAAAAAAUAAAUUAUUUAAAAAUUUAAAAAAUAUUUUGAAAGAUAAUAUUACAAACUUAAAUUUUAAAUAUAUAUAUAUAUAUAUAUAUAUAUAUAAUUAAAAAAAUUACAAAGUUAUUAAUAAUAAAUAAUUAUUAUCAAUAUGCAUUUAUUUAACAUGAAAAACUAAUAAGUAACUUUUGAAUAAGUUUCUAUUCAUUCUUUAAUACUUGCAAUAUAAGUAAUUAUAUUAUCAAAAUCUAUUAUAUAUAUAUAUAUAUAUAUAUAUAUAUAAUCUAUGAUAUAUUUGAUUAUUUUUAGAAAAACGACAUAAUUUUGGAUUAGUAAUUUUAGAGUUUUAAAAAAAAUCUACUUGAAGACUCUUCGAGUUUUUGAGAGCAUGGCUAUAGAAGGCAAGAACUGCUUUAGUGAUCUUUUUACUUAUCUUCCAAUUUGUCUAUUACUCUCUUAUCUUGGUCUCUUCUUGAAUUGAUCAAUACAUGCAUCUAAAUGCAUACUCUUAAUUUCCUCUUUUCCAAUCUCUCAUCUAAUUUCUAAAUCAUCUACUUCAAUUUCUUCUCUCUUGUUUUAAUUUUUAAUUUUUUUUUCUUCUUCUAACCAAGUUACUUCUAAUAUCCUAAUUACUAGAUCAUAGCUUGCACUCUAAAUGUUAAAGUUUUUCUCUUUGAUUGUUCUUGAGUUCCCUCUUUCUUGACCAAAAUCUUAUGCUUUCUUAUAAUUCCUUCUCUUAAGAUUCUUGGCUCUUUCUCCAUCUUGGUUUCUAUGUCUUCUCUUCUAUUCUUCUCCCUAAUACCUGAUUUUUUUUCUUGACUCCCUCCAAAAUCUCUAAUUUUAAAAUAUCUAUCAAUUAUUUUUCAAAUAAUUCUAAAUUUCUUAUCUCUUCUCAAUUCUUUUGAUCUAGCCAAUUGUCUCUUCUUCCCACUACAACUUUGAAUUCUCUUUUUUAUCUCAAUACAACUUUGAUUCUACUUAGGGCCACUUUACUCUUUUAUCAAAAUCUUGCCAUUGUGGUCGAGUGCUCUCUGCUAUCCCUCUAAUUGGACCUAAAAUGCUUUGUCUCAAUUUCCAUUGUAUCUCCACACCUCAUGUUGGUUAUUUGUCCUAUUUUUAUUUUAUAUUAUUUUUUUAUCAUUUUUUUUGCCUUUUCCUUUGCCUUUGCCUUUCUUUCUACUCACUAUUUUUAUUUAUUUUCUUUUCCUUCAUACACCUCUCUUUCUUUUAUAAUUUGAUCUUUCUUUUCUUUUUCUCUUUUUAAUUUUUUCAUCUUUUUUUAUCUCUGGUCUACACUUAUUGGUUGUUAUUCUCUUAGUUCAAUUGUUUAUUUUUUAAAAUUUAAUUUUUUUUCUCCUCCAUCUUUGGUCCACUUUGGUUGUUCUUUCUUCUCUUGGUGUCUUGAAUUGAUAUUUAACUAGUUUUUUAAAUUAGAAUUCUCCUAUUUUUCUUGACAAAUUAUAUCAUGGUUAUGCAAAUUAAUGUUCUCCUAGUCAUUUGGCUAGUUUUAGUUCUCACCCUCUUAGUCUCCAAGUUCUUCUUGGUCUUUUUGGCUAAUAUCUUCAUUUUUCUUGUCAACCAAUCUCUAAGUCAGUUGCUUAGAUGUGACUGUCACAAGUUAGUUCUUGUCAUAAAACCUAUACAUUUUUACCUUGUUAAUAUUAAGAAUCACCAACUUAGGCUCAAAAUGCUCUAUUGUCACUAAGAGAGUAGUAUUAUUAUGUAAGCAAUACUAUAUCUAGUAUGGUCCAAAUCACUUGCUCUUAAACUUAUCCCCAUGCUACUUGUUACCCUUUAGAUAUUACAAAAUGUAAUUAUUGUGGAUGUAAUGUAGAGACAACAUACAACCAAAGUGGAUUUAUAUUAAGUCCAUUGAUAUAGCCCCAUUGAAGAGUUGAAGACCAAAACAAAAGUGUAGUACUAAACAAAAACUCUUCUUACUAGCAACUAAAACCUCACCUCUAUUAUCCAAGAGACUAGAGAGGAGUUCUCCAAUUCUAUAACACAACUAAAACACAACUAUUAUUGAAGUUUUUCUAGAAAAGACUCUCAUAAAAACUCAAAUUUAGAUGUAAAUGCUCUUUGAUAGAUAGGCCAGUAGAAACCAUCAGGCAAAAUCUAUCAAAACACACCACUACGUCUCAACCGAAGUACAAUGAGGUGACCCAAUAUUCUGCUCAAGAUGGCUAUUUGCAUCAAGAAAAUCCUGUAAAAUGCAACUAAUUCAUAGCUAUGCAACUAGUCAGAUCAGAAUUUAGUCUUGCCACUCUCCAAUCUUGAAACUUCAGGUUGUUACAUCCUAAGAGUGCUUGCUCCUUACAGCAGGCUACUAGUCUAAUAAUGACACAACACAACUUCAUUAAAACAACCCAAAGAAGCAACAAGCUGGAAUCCAAGAAUGCUGCCUCCCUAGAAAGCUUCUAACACAAAAGAAACUUCUCUAUCAGAGCUUUUCCAAUCCACAUUCAAUCUACUUGCCUAGACUGGGAGCAUGCAUGUACUGAUUAGCUUCUCCUCCACAUCGAGUGAGUAGAGUUCCCACUAGCAGCAACAUACAAGUCCAUCCACAAGAAAAACUCUCAUACUUCAAUAACUGAAAUGCACUCUCUAUCACCCAGGGUCGUUUUCCAAGCUGAAUUACUACACUACAGCUCACUUAUCCUAUCAGAAAUUCAAAACCCUAAACCUGGUCGCAGUCCAUGAUGCAAUCUCCAACCAUCUGAUCAAAGUGUUUCAGCACCACUUGUUCCACAUUCUCGAAAGCAACGUCGGAUAUGGACACCACGCCAUCGUACGCGGCUAUAGUGAACACCAUGAACACGCUCCGCCACCCGGAUUUGAUGCUCCCAACCUUCGACUUGAUCAUUUGUACAAUAAAGUCCACGAUCAGAGCCCUGAUGCUCGAAUUCUUGCUGCUCCGUAUUAUCACCACGAGAGGAUUCAGAAUGUUGUUCUGGAAUGUGAAGUUCGCCAAUUCCGCCCUCUCCAAAUACUUGAUCGCUAGUUGUCUCAGAGAGUCAAUCGCAUACAUCGCAAUUUACUCCUCCGAUAAAUCUUCACAGCAUCUCAAUUGCUCUGAGUAGGCUCCCAAGUCCUGAUAACAGCUCCAGUAAGUCUUUCUCGUAUGUCUGUGGAAAUGGACUUCGAGGGGAUUCAUUUCAGGACAAAACUCAAAGCUUUUUGGUGGUUUGCUCGCCUUGAACAAUCGCACCGCUUCUUUGUAUCGUUCUGUCACCCUGACAAAGCCUAGCCUUGCAAUGCUUUUCUAAAACGGGCUUCCACCUUCCUCCCAAAAUCAAUCGGCCGCUCCUCUAUUCCUACAAGACUUCUUUUUUUUGUUACCACAGACGCAUUUGAGGUAUUUGACCACGCACCGCAGUAGAACCUCCAUGCCUCCUUACGUGAAGUACACGCAUAAAUGAACAGAAGACCACCCAAAUCAUAUGCAGAAGUCAACAAAUAGGGCGCCUAUACAAUAGCAUCACGUCCAUACCCUUGCUCCGUCUAUGACCAUUCGCCUCUCCAUAUGAGGCGUUGCUCUCAUUGCCACCAGUCGUUCCAUCGGUGCAUAACACUUGUACGGUUCGUUCAACAUUUGUGCGUUUUUUAAUUUCGUCCAAUACGUCUUUUGGUGGGGCUGAGUCGAACCCUUCUGCUUCCGCAAACUAUAACCAUGCGGCUUUAACCUCCCUUGCAUUCGAUCCAUACCGCCUUUGAACAAGCACGUGGUCUAGGCUGGCCAGUUGUCUAUCCCAUUGUCCAUCUCUUCGUUCAGAUCCUGGCACUUCUCCUGGGGCUCCGCUUCGCAUACCAUAAUUUCCUACUUCUGGAUUUGAUUCUUUUUGCCAAGACUUCGCAGCGCGUUUGUUUGCGGCUGCCCGGCCGUGUCAUCGAUUCUACCCUUCCGCCAUUCCUCUCUCCACGCCGCAUAUGAAACAAAUGUUCAAUUUCAACAGCCGACUUCUUCAAUGCUGACUCUGCCUCAACUUCUUCGGAUUGUCCUCAAAAGUUUCCCAGUAGCCACGUCCGUUCGCUUACGAAAACGACUACACCAGCUUCCAGAAUGAGUUGGGGUUCAUCUCCAACAACCUCUUCUGCAUCUCAUAGUCAUUGAUGAAGGUGUUGAGGCUGCACCAUGCCAUUAUGUUGAGGCUACACAUCAUUCGUCUUGAGUUUUGGGUUUCAAUUAGGAUUUGAUCUCGGAUUUGGUUAAGAUUCAAUUAGGGUAUUUACUUCGGAUUACAUUCAAGUUUCUAUUUUUAGUAUUUCUUUAGGAUUCUUUGUUGCUUCUUUAAAGUUUCUAUUUUCAGUAUUUCUUUAAGAUUAUUGUUAUUUCUUUAAAGGUUAAUUUUUAUACUUCUAUAAGAUUAUCAUUAUUUCUUUAAAGUUUUAUUUUUAUAUUUCUUUAAGAUUUCUUGUUAUUCUUUUUUAAAAAUUAAAUCAUGACUUUUUUGUGUUUCUUUUGUGACUUCUUUUAAAUUUAUAUUGAUAGGUUAAAAUUUCAUUGAGUUUAUUAGAAAUUACUUUAUUUAAGGCUCUAUUAGACUUGGUAGAAUUGUUAUUGCAUUUUUAGUUACCUUCUAUAGCUAAGUGCCUAGUGCAUUUUUAAGGAAGAACAUAUGAAAUAUAACAUUGCUCAACCUCCAACACCUAGUAGCUUUGCCAAAUGCUCUAGAGUACUACAAAGCUUCUUCAUCUGAUAAUCACUGAUGCUUAUAACUAGAUGCUUGAUCUCUCACUCCUCUUAAUCAAAUAACAACUUUGCAUUUGCAACUGCUACAAUAGCACUGGUAUAUUCAUUCACAUUUCAAUUACGUAAGCAUAUGUAGAAAAUACUAAUCAAUCAUCCAUACAUAUAGCUAGUUGCUCAACUUUGAUACCAAUUACUUUCAAUCAUGUCAUUGAACAGAUCUGUCUCUUAUAUUCACACUACAUUGUCACAAAACUCUCUAUAGUAUUGCAUUGAUCAAUCAAUUACUUAUUAAUGUCAUGAUAGAAAUUGAUUAGAUACUCUCUUUUCUUCAUGUCAUUUAUUUUUGGCAGUAGUAUCUACUACUAUUGUUGUUGCUUCCAAUCUCAAAAUGCACCACUUGUGUCAGUUUCUUAUUCUUGCUCUAUGUUUGUCAAAAAUGUGAAAAAAAUUUAGUAGAGCAAACUUACAAUGCUAGAGCUCAAGAGCACAGCACUCCACUAGUCUCAAAGUUGCCUCUUAUAAUGCCACUGAAGCGCUAUCUGGUCUAAAGAAAGACUAAUGUCUUGCUCCUUGAAAUCAUCCUCUAAUUGUCGAAGGAGAGCAUUGUCAAAGUCAUCUCUAUCCAAUAAGGUGUCACGGAGAUACUCAUGUCAGCCAGUAAUUACAUAUAUAAAUAGGUAAAAGUAAGUUAAAGUAGGUAAAAGUAAGUUAAUUCUAUAGUAUUUGAUAUGGAAGCUUCUUAGAAGCUUAAUAGACGCUGCUUUGACUUCAUAGGUGUCUUUAAUUGACUUUUUGGAUUAGAUACAUGGUCAACAAGUUGGCCAUGUGCCACACAUGUUGUUAGUUUGAAGACCAAGCUAACUAUGUGGCCGACCUAUAGAAAAACUUGCCUUGUAAGUCAAGGCAUAUAUCUUACAAAGUCAACACAUAUUAGAGGUCCUAUAGAACGUUGCCACGUAGCCCCUAGUUAGAUAGUAUAUAUAGAGACAAGAGUGAAGCCUUCUUCACUCUUGUCAACUCCUUUCUUGCUUCAAGUCUAGUUUCAAGGGUCUCUAGUUUUCUUAUCUUUUGGCAAUAGCUAUUCCAGUUUCUCUUUCAAUAUACAUACUUGUUUAUUUAUAUUUUGUUACCUUUCUUUGAGUGAAGGCUCACUUGUUUGAAUUGCUUUUUCAUUGAGUUCUUAUCCUUGACAGAUUGACAAGGAUACACCUACAAUAUCAAAGCUUUAUCUAAUCUUGAUUAAGAGUGGAUUACGCUUUUUUUCUUGAUAAGAUAUAAGCGUAUUAGAAGUUGCGGAUUACCCUCUUCUAAACUCAUAUUGUCCUUAGUAUUUUCUUUGUUCUCAAGUCCUCUCAUCUAUUUGUCUUAAGCGAUAUUAGACAUCUUCUCUUUUCUAAGUAUUAUCAUGGUAGAACUUGUUGAAAUGAAGAGUGCAAUGGCACAAAUAUAAGAGCAAUUGAGGGAGUUAAUGCUUGCGAUGCAUCAAUUCAAUUCACCACCACAAGGAGCAACAAGAUUGGUAGGAAGUGAAGGUAUAGAAAUAAUUGGAGCUGCUUCAACAUCUACACCAAACCAUGUCCUUUCUCCUAUGGAACGCCCUUCUAAUGUUAGAGAACCAAGAAUUGCCCUAUCCGAGAAGUUUGAUGGCACCAAAUCCAAGUUUCGAGGAUUUAUCAAUCAAGUGCAACUUGUGAUUGAACUUCAACCUCAAAGCUAUUCAACUCCAGAAUCGCAAGUUGGAUUCAUUGGUAUGCUUCUUUCAGGUUCAGUACUAUCAUAGUUUUCAUCUUUUCUUGAACGAUAUAGUUAGAUAGUAUAUAUAGAGCCCCUAGUUAGAUAGUAUAUAUAGAUCCAAUAUUGGAUAAUCUAGAGGCUUUUUUGGUGGAGUUUUGAUCCAUGUAUGGAAAACAUGAUGCAAUUCGUGUUGCAACCAAUAAGAUCCAUAUUUUACGACAAGGCAAUCGAUCAGUAACGUUAUACACUUCAUAAUUUCGACAACUUGCAACUGAUAUCAAGUGGGAUGAUGCUGCACUUAUUAGCUAAUUUCUCUAUGGAUUACAAUAUGAGGUAAAAAAAUUAAUGCUCAACUUACCUGAUCCUCAAACAUUGAGUCAAGCAAUUGACUUUGCUGUGAAGUGUGACAAUCACCUUUUUGAAUUUCAAUCUAAGAACCGUAGAAGUGGACCUCAACGUUACUAUAAUUCAAUGGCAACACCAACACCUCUUCAAUACAUACAUUCAGAAGUAGAGGAUAUGAAAAUUAAUGCAGUACGUUUCAAAUCUCUUACUGAGCAAGAAAAGAAUCGUCGUCAUCAAGAAGGAUUAUAUUUAUAUUGUAGAGAACCAAAACACACUGCUCAAUAUUAUCCAAAGAAACGACGCAACCAUAUAAUGAAGAGUAUGGUUGUGAAAGAAGAUAAUAUGUCGGAAAACGAGUUUGUCCAACUACAAUAGAGACCAUGUGGCUGGAACCUUGCACAACAUCUAGUAAAGGUCUUAUUCUCUCCUCAGAGCCCUCUCCUUGUUUUAAAUUAAAUGAUAUUUUAGGACCUACACAUUACAAAGCCUCUGCCUUGUUAGAUUCAGGAGCCUCGGCAUGUUUCUUAGAUGAAGAAUUUACUAAAAGACAUAGCAUAUCUUUAGUAAAGAAAACUAAACCUGUUCAUGUAGAAGUCCUAGAUGGUCGUCCAUUGUCUUCUGGAGAUAUUACUCAUGAAACCCUUCUUAUAGAAGUAAUAAUCAAUGUUCAUAAUAGUUUUGUAGUAUUUAAUAUCAUUAAAUCUCCCUUUAAUCCAGUCAUUUUAGGUUUAUCGUGGUUAGAAAAAUACAACCCUCAAAUAGAUUGGAUUUCUCAAACUCUUACUUUUUCUAAAAGAAUAACUAAUAGUGUAAUUAAUCAAGUCAUGUCAUGUGUUGCAGAAAAUCUAGCCAAGAAUUUCAUACGCCAUUCUAAAUUUCCAGCAGGACCUCCAAUUCUAUUUGUGAAGAAAAAAGAUGGAUUAUUGUGGAUGUAAGUUGAUUAUUGUGGACUCAACAAGAUUACCAUCAAGAACAAGUAUCCACUACCUUUAAUAUCUGGACUUCUUGAUCAGCUGAAUCAAGCUAAGAUCUAUACAAAAAUAGAUCUCCGGGGAGCAUACAAUCUAGUACGUAUCAAAAAAGGAGAUGAAUGGAAGAUUGGCUUGAGACAUGUAUUACAAAAAUUAAGAGAUGCAGGACUCUAUGCCAAGAUAAAAAAAAAAGUGUGUAUUCCAUACUAUUCAAGUUGAUUUCUUAGGUUAUAUCAUUUCAAAUGAUGGACUUAUGAUGGAUCCUAAGAAAGUUCAAAUUAUUAUAGAUUGGAAGAUCCCAAAAACAGUAAGAGAUGUUCAAUGCUUUUUGAGAUAUGUCAACUACUAUCAGAUCUUUAUCAAAGACUUCUCUCGAGUUGCAGCUCUACUUACACAUUUGACUUGUAAAGACAAACUCCAAUGGAAUCAAGAAGCCAAAGUUGCUUUUGAAUCUUUGAAGAUAGCGUUUGUUUCUGCACCAAUCUUGUAUCAUGUUGAUUUUUUCUAAGCGUUCUUUAUGGAAAUAGAUGCAUCAGACUUUGCUCUGGGUGCAAUUUUGUCACAAAUAGGAACAGAUGACAAACUUCAUCCAAUAGCCUUUCAUUCAAGAAAAUUCUCAGUAGCAGAAAUCAAUUAUGAGAUCCAUGACAAAGAACUUCUUGCAAUUGUGGAUUCUUUUCAAGAAUGGUGUCAUUAUCUAGAAGGCUCUUUCAAUCCAAUCACCAUGUAUACGGAUCACAAGAACCUCAAGUAUUUCAUGUCAACACGCAUAUUAAAUCAUCAUCAAGCUCGUUAGAGCAUGUCUUUAUCAAGAUUCGAUUUCAUCAUCACUUAUCGGCCAGAACAAAAAGAAGGUUUGUCCAAUGCUUUGUCUAGACGUUCUUAUCUUGUACCAAAAGAAAGAGAUGCAGCUUUUGAGCAACAAAGAACGGUUCUCUUGAAGCCGGAGUAAUUUCAUCUUCGAGCAAUAAAAUCAACAUUGAUUGUUGAUUUAACUUUUUUUAAGCAAGUCCAGUUAAGUAUGUCUUGAGACCCUCUUAUUCAUGAUAUCAAAAAUAAUUCUUCUAAAUCUCAUAAUUCCUCUAAAUUCGAGUUCAAGAAUAACCUACUCUAUUUCGAAGGACGCCUAUAUAUUCCACAAGGAGAAGCACGUUUACUUAUUCUUCAAGCUCAUCACGACUUUCUAGCAGCAGAAUAUUUUGGAUACAAUAAGACUUUGGAGCUGAUAUCUAGGGAUUUUUGGUUGCCUCAAAUGUAGAAGGCAGUCAAAGAUUUUGUACAAUCAUGUGAUGUUUGCUCAAGAUCAAAAACUCCUCGUUAUCGAUCUUUUGGAUUUCUUUAGCCAUUAUCCAUUCCAAAACAACCAUGGUCUUCUGUUUCUAUGGACUUCAUCAUGGAUCUUCCAAUCUCAGGUUCUUAUGACUUUAUAUUUGUGAUAGUAGAUCGUUUUACCAAGAAGGCACAUUUUGUACCAUGUACAAAAUCUAUCACAGGUGAAGAAAUAGCUAAGUUCUUUCUUGACAAUAUCUAUCACUAUCAUGGGUUACUAAAGGAUAUUAUAUCAGAUAGGAGAACUCAAUUUGUAUCAAGAUUUUGACGGAUUCUUUUUAAGAUUCUAAAAGUGGAUAUAAAACUAUCUUUGGUAUUCCAUCCUCAAACUAAUGGAUAAACGGAGCGUGUUAAUCAAGUUUUGGAGGAAUAUUUAAGAUAUACCAUUAACUACCAACAAGAUGAUUGGACAACUCUUUUGCCAUUGGCAGAGUUUGCUUACAAUAACACGAUACAUUCUUCUACAAAACAAACACCUUUCUUUGCUAAUUAUGGUUAUCAUCCACAACUUGAUACUUUUGACUUUUUAAAAGUUGAUAAUCCUGCUGCGAAAUAUUUGCCGAGUCAUUUAUCAGAGCUAUAUGCAACGAUGAAGGCGUAGUUAAAAAAGGCUCAAGAAUAACAAAACGUCAAUGUGGAUGUCUAUUGAAAGGAACAACCACCAUUCUACUUAGGUGAUAAGGUAUGGCUACUUCGUCGCAAUAUCAAGACCACUCAUCCUUGAGACAAGUUGGACUAUCGAAGGCUUGGACCAUUUUCUAUUUCUGCACAAAUCAAUCCAGCUGCAUAUCAUUUACAUCUAUCGGAGUCAACAAAAAUCCAUCCAAUAUUCCACGUGUCUCUUCUUGAACCAUACAAGACAGUGGACAUACCAAAAAGUAGACAAACUCCACCUCGUUCUAUAGAAGUAGACAAUAAUGAAGAGUUUGAAGUAGAAGAAGUCUUAGAUUCAAGGCGGCGUCGAAAUAAAUUAGAAUAACUUGUCCAUUGGUAUGGAUAUGAUAUUAGUGAAUGCACAUGGGAGCCAAUAAAGAAUCUUACAAAUGCAGCAAAGGCGGUGGAGGCUUUUCAUCGAUGACAUCCAUCAAAAUCAAGAUGAAAACCUUCUUUAUAAAAGAAACAACCUCUAGACAAGAUAACAUUCUACUUUCAAUUUUUGUUUUUAGCUUCUAUAUAGUUGUGACGCUCAGGAGAUAGAGAAUUAACAAUCAGCGGAUUUGACUCAAGAACCUUCAUUUGCUAACUUGCCAAACGAGACAUUAUGAUUAUCACAACCUUCAAGACGACGCAAUCGAGAUGAAGAUCUUCAAGAACGACAUGUUCUUCCUCAAAUAGAUGGCGAGAUACAACGCGUUUGGUAUCACGAUUUGGGAAGGGACUCCUGAUGUUUGGUGAUUUUGCUAGAGGUAGGAACAACUGUUGAUGAUGUUUCAAUUGUUCUAUUCGAAAGAAGUUAUGAAGGCCUCAACAAUGAUCAAAUAACUGGAUGGUCUUCCUGCCCUAGUAUGGGACACUACCGAUGGUUGAGAGGCCCUAUCAAUUAUCUUCGAAGAGAACAAAGAUCAGAGUAUGUCAUGAAUACAAUUCGACACAGCAUAGAUUUCUUCAACAUAUGAUGAUCGCUCCUUGUGGAACUCGUCCCUAGAAGAGGGGAUAAUGUCACAGACAUACUCAUAUAAGCCAGUAAUUACAUAUACAAAUAGAUAGAACUAAGUUAAAGUAGAUAAAAGUAAAUUAAUUCUAUAGUAUUUGAUAUGGAAGCUUCUUAGAAGCUUCAUAGAUGCUACUUUGACUUUAUAAGUGUCUUUAAUUGAUUUUUUGGAUUAGAAACAUAGUCAACAAGUUGGCCAUGUGCCACACAUGUUGUUAGCUUGAAGACCAAGCUAACUAUGUGGCCGACAUAUAGAAAAUCUUACCUUGUAAGUCAAGGCAUGUGUCCUACAAAGUCAACACAUAUUGGAGGUCAUAUAGAACGUUGCCACGUAGCCCCUAGUUAGAUAGUAUAUAUAGAGACAAGAGUGAAGCCUUCUUCACUCUUGUCAACUCCUUUCUUACUUCCAAUCUAAUUUCAAGGGUCUCUAAUUUUCUUGUCUUUUGGCAAUAGCCAUUCCAAUUUCUCUUUCAAUAUACAUGUUUGUUUAUUUAUAUUUUGUUACCUUUCUUUGAAUAAAGGCUCUCUUGUUUGAAUUGCUUGUUCAUCGAGUUCUUGUCCUUGACAUAAGGAGUCUCUAUUUGUAACCUUCACAUCUUCUUUCCUCCAUCCACAAUGUAUUGCUAGGUUUAAAAAUCAGAUCAUACAAUAAUUUCAUCAUUUUUUUAUGUACCUCCUCAAUUUCAGAGUGCAAUAAGGUGAUCAAUGGAAUCAUCCUAUCCUCUCCCAAUAGUUUGUUUGCCUCAGACAUAGACAGACUCUACUAUGUACUUGCAGCCAAAGCUACUAGCCUACGCUUUUUCUUAGAAUUUUUGACACCUUCCAAAAUUCUAAAAAUUAGUUAUUGAACUGAGAGGUACUCUAACUUAGAGGAUUUAUUUAGAGAUACUCUAAGUAGCAUCCAAGUUUGGCUAAACUAUUACAUUAAUAUAGCUUUUUGACAUAGCCCUAAAAUCUCUUCUAAAAUGAAUAUUUAAACUAUUAAAAAAAUUCUUUUGUUUCAACUUAAGGAUUUAGCAUUUCACAUUAAUACUUCUCUCUCUAUUUCAAGAAUUUCUAUCAUAAUUAACCAUGUAUUCAAUAGCAAAAAAUAGUAGCCUUAGUCUCUAAUGAGUGUCAAAAGACAUAUGUAUCUUUUUAUAUAGAAACUUAGCAAUGUCAAGAAGUUUGUUAUUAGUCUAAGAAAGUACAAAGCUUUUUGUUGUGGAGAUCUUUAUAUCUUAUGUUUAUCUUAGUUGAUUUCUAUCAUCUCUUUUGCAUUUUUUUAUACUAAAGUAUCAUCCAAAUCCUUCACUUAUAUCUAAUCUAACCUAUCUUACUUUGAAUUUAUAUAAUUCAAUAUAAAAUCAUUAAAAUAAUUUAAAAUAUUUUUUGAUAGAUCACAUAACUUAUUUUAUCUUUAUAUUCGAAUUUUUAAAUUUUUUGAUAACUUUAAUCAUCUAUAGCAAGUAAAUUUCUUAAGUUAACUUUUUGGUUACUAUUCUUUCUUCAUAGUACUACAAAUAGUUACAAUUUUAUAUACAUCCCCUAAACCAAAUAUCACAAUAUCUUAAAACUUUGUGAUUGCAUUUUUAAUAUUUUAAUACAACUAUACUUUAAUUCUUAUAACUAUAACUCUCAUAGAAAUCAAGUUAUGACCCUUCAAACUUAUAGCCCUUGACUUAUAAACUUCUUAGAUCUGCUUUGCUUUAGCACGUCAUUUCUCCUUGACGUGAUUAUUUUUUGUCCUACAAAUUUGUAAAAAAUAGAUAUAGUUCUUCUAAAUAAUUUUUUAAAAGCAUAUUCUAAUUAUAUAUUCUAAUUAAUUAUAAUAGAUUCUAAACUAAGACUCCAAAUCUAUCUUCUUUAUUUCUCAAAAAAAAAGUUACAAUAAUAAUGCUUUGUGCUUCUCUUCACUUCCUUUAAUCACAUCAAUACCUCAAAAAAAUCAUCAAGAUAUCUUUAAGGUUUUUCCUAGAUUUCUUCCAAAUGUCUCUUAGUUGUCUCCAAAAUGACUUCUAGUUGUCUUCAAGAUGAAGACCUACUACAUGUGGUCUAACUUAUCUUUAUCCUAAUUCUCACUACUAAAAUUUUUUGGCUAUCAAUCUAAUAGUUGGUCCUCUACAAAUGCAAAAAAACAUAUGAAUUAUAAUAAUACCACAUUAAUAUUAAUUUAAUUAAAUAUUUAAAAUAAAACAAUGCCACAAUAAUAUCAAUCUAAUUUUAUGCUUAAGAUAGGCAUAAUAUACAUAAAUUUCUACCAUUUAACCAUUAAAUGGCCUACAUCACAACUUCAGUUAUUAUAAUUGAAUUGAUUUUAAGGCCCAAGUCUCCAUCCACUUAGUUUUAUAAUUUGUUGCCAUUAGUAUGUAGUAAUUAUUGGUGCUUGAAGCCAUUGGUUUAAUCAAAUUAAUAAAAUCUAAGUAUCACUUUAUAAAUAGUUUUAUUGGCAUAUUAAUUAUUAGUUUGACUAAGCUAAUAAUAGCCAUGCUUUUAACUCUCUAGCAUUGAUUAUAAGCCUAAUAAUACUUUGAUACAUCCUUGUGUAGUGCAAGCUACAAAAAAUUUACGUCUAAUAUCUUUUUGGUGGUAAUAUCUUGUGAAAAAUAACCACCAAUCAUAUUGUCAUGCAUCUAUUUUAUCAUUUUUUUUGCUUGAAUUAAGUCUAGUCUAUCCAUUAGGACUAGAUCUUCACCACUCUUUUCAAGCACUUCAUUAAUCAACAUAUACAACAACUUUUAAAUCAGCUUAUUUUACUUCUUUUUAGACAAAUUGAGCAAAGCAAUACAUGUCUUGACGUAAUCGAUAACAUUAGUUAGCUAUUCUAGUUGCACGUAAAAUAGACUAAUAUUCUUAGUCUAAUCCUUAAUAUCAAUUUUUGGCUUACCAUUUGAUAAUUUGGACAAUGCAUCUUCUAUCUCAUGAUUCUUCUUGGAUUUCUAAACAACAAUUAUGAGUCAUCAAAAAAACUCAUGUGUUUGUAUUAGAAUAAAAUAAUAUAAUUAGAAUAUCAAGUACAAAUAUUUAGGUAAAGGAUUAGAUUAAAGAAGCUAAAUAUAAGUAAAAUAAUAAUAAUACAAAAAAAAUGAUGUUGAAGUAAAAAGAAUUUGUACUAAGAAAGCAUUGGACUUUUGACUGACACUAAUUGCUCAACCAAGUCUCAAGAUAAAAAAACACCAAGUUUAUAUAUAGAAUUAUCCCUAUAGGAGCAAUUACAUCAAUACAUAAGCCUUAAGUACCAAAGAUCACCAAAAAUGUGAUAAAAAUAUUAUAAAACCUUCUAUAUUCUUAAGUUUAAUUUUUUUCAAACUUCAAUAGCUCAUAUCUCAUGAUUGGACUAUCCAAGAAUCCAAGAAUCCAAGAAUUGAUAUAUUUUUAAUAACUACUGGAAAAAAAUUAAUUACAAAUUUAUUACAAAUCUUGAAAUAUCACCAAAAUCCUAACAGUAGCUUCAAAUCCUUGCUUAUAUAUACUUAUGUGCAAUUUUCUUCAUAUCUCAAAAACUAAGUAUUAAAAUAUCAUAAUAUUUUGAUAUAUAGCUUUUUAACCUAAUAAUAUAUAUGUAUGAAAAGUUUUAGCCAAAAAUUCAUCCAAAAACUCAAGAUAUGGCUUCAACCAUUACUAUUAGUAAAACAACUAACUUACUGCCUUUGAAUUACAUGUGUUGUCUUAAACAUUCUAUAACUCCUUCAUACAAAGUUUAAAUGCAAAAAUCAUUUCACAAAAGAUGUAGAUCUUAAAAUCAUCCUUACAGUUGUACCUCUCGAUUUCCAAAAUCUAUCAUAAAACUCUUUGUAUCUUCAAAAGAGCAAUAAUAUGUCUUACAAAGAUACCUUAAUUUUAAAUAGCUAUAACUUCAUCACCAUAACUCCAAAUCCUCUAAAAUUUGUACAAAAAUUGUAGUCCAAAUCCUAAACCUUAUAAUACUUACUUUUAAUUUACAAAUGCUUCUUUUGAAGUCAUUGAGAUCCUUAUUAUAGUUGCAGACAACCUACUGAAUACCUAUUUGGCAUGGCCUUUGACCAAUAAGGAUGAAGAUUGUUACCUUUUGCCUUCAUCCAUCCAUAACUUACUUUCAUCAUUCCAAAUAAGUUUUUUAGAAGUUUGGAUCUUCAUCUUUGAGUCCCAAUUUUUCCUUAAAUUUUAUACUAAAUAUCUAAAUAUUAUGUAAUUUAAAUACUAUAAUCAACAUAGAUAAAUCUCAAAAUAAAUUUUCUUACAUCAAUUUUCUUUAAAUUAAUCUACUAAAUAUUCUACUACAUAUCAAUACUUAUAAAUAUAUUAUAUAUUUUAAUUAAUUUUUAUAUAUUAUAAACAAUCAUAAUAUGACAACAAAUUUUCCAUACUUUAAUACUAUGGCACAAUCUGGACUAGCUAAGGAGGUGUUGCAAAAGUGGAGGUUGUAGUUAGAGCUACAUCAAUGAUGUGAAUUCUAUUUUUGUUCUUCCUCCAUGCUUUAAAUUUUAUUUGUAGAAGUGUGGAUCUGAUAGUGGUGACAUUGAAGCUAUUGUAAUUGUGUUUGGAUAUUACUUUAUUAUAGGACAAAGGUUAAAGAACUAAGAUUGUAGGACUAGCCAAAGGCAAUUAAUUCUAAAAAGAUUUUAGUAGAAGAAGCUCGUACAAUGGUUGAUGUCAUCAAGAAUAAAGACCAUGCAAAAAUAAAGUUCCAAAAUUUGUAACUGAAUGUAACAAAAAAAUCUCAAAAUCAAAUAAUAUAGAAGAAUAUCAAGUCUAAGAAGGUGUUUGGAUGCAUAAGGCAUAAAUGAACUAAAAUUAGCAAGAAAAAAGUAAAUUAAGCUUGAUUGAAAGUGAGCUUAUAAGCCUUGAAAACUAAAGAAAUUAAGUAGCAACAUAAGAGCUCUUAGAGUUUUUUUUCCUAAUAUAGCAGAAAUAGAAAAAAAAAAAAAAUUCAAAAAUUAGUGGAUGGAAGGAGAAAGGGAGGAGGGAUGAAGGAGGAAGGAUAAGAAAGGAAGAGAGAUAAUAUGAUUCUGCUAAAAAAUUGCUAUGGUGUGGAGGUUGUAAAGAUCAAAGAGAAAUCUAGUCAAAAAUUUUAUAGCAUUGUAGAGGAGAAUUUGGCCGCAAUUGAGGAACAAAUUUCAUAUGAGCAAGAGGAGGAGUAUUUGUGCUCAACUCCCAUUCUACUUCCUUUGACCACUAGGACAUCAAGAAGAUUGGCUAGAAGGCUCUAAUUGAGUGUAGCCAUCAACAUUUGGAAUUGUGAGGAAUUUCAAAAUCAUGUAUUAUAGAACUACUUAUUUUUAUAAAUUGAAGCAAUUCUAGAUUGGAUAAAUAAUUUUAAAUUAAAUGAUUAUAGAAUUAGGUGAACAAAUAUUGAUAUGAAAUUAGGUUAAUAUGGAUGAUGUUAGAUCUUGAAUAGAUGAUCUUUAAUAAAAUGGAUGAAUUCUUAUUUUUAGAUAAAAACUCUUUUAUAGAUGAGAAUUUAUUUUGGAUGAAGUUUUAAAUUUGGAUGAUAAUUUAUACCAUACAACAAUAAGAAAAUAAAAAAUUAUUUAAAAAAUUAGAAUAAAAAUCAUAUCUGAAUGUUUCUUUCAAAUGUAUGAACUUUGAAUUGUUUAAGUGGCUUAUAUUGUGGAUUGAGGUUGUUUUUCUAUAAAUUUGAUUAGUUAGAGAGGUUAAUCUUUCUUAACAAAAAUUAAGAAGAAUCUUUUAUUAAUCAUUUCAUAAAUUAAAUAAUAGUAUAAAUUAAAUAAAUCACUUAUUAGAGUGAUUUAUUUUUAGUCACACUUAGAAUGUUGAAGGACUUUGUAGACAAUUAAUCAAAUCCUAAUAAGAACUUAUUAUAAUUUUUAGAUAUUCGAAAUUGUUGUAAAUAAAGAUAGACUUUUAGUUUGUGGGGAUUUAUUUUAGUUCAUAACAAUAUAGUCAUACUCUUAAAACAAAAGUAACUAUUUGGCAAUCUGACCACAUACAUGGGAUUUAUUGACCAAAUAGAUCAAUGCCAUAUGAUCAACAUAAAAAAACAAACUUAUUACCAAGCAAAUAAUACCUAUACUUGUUUAAAGCAUUCACCAUUGCAAGAGCCUCUUAUUCAGUAGUAGUAUAGUUUAUCUUAGCAGAAUUUAAAAGAUGUGACAUUCAGAACUCAGCCUGCAUCUUUCCUCGCCAUUUCCAAAGUGUAUUCAAGAGCUGAUAUCUUGUCUCAGCGAUCCUUGCGAGUCACAUGAAUACAAGCGUGACAAUUUAUCUGACACAUUUAAGACAAUAUGCUUCUUGAAGCAAUCCAUUGAUAUAUACUCCGACUUGCUUCAUGACUGGACCCAGCUGAGUUCAAAUGGCGAAAUAUUUUGGAGUCUCAGAAAAUUGCUUAUAAGAUGAUGCAAACGUUCCUUACAUUCAUUGGAGAAUUAUGUAGCACAUGCAAGGAAACGGCUGGUUCAUCAGUUGGAGUUGAAGAUGAGCAGUUAUCAACGGAAACUGCCGCACCCGGAAGCGACCACUCAAACCGUGUUUUCUAUUAUGCAACACUAGCCAUCAAGAAAAGCCUAUUUGUGGAGGUCGAGAGAAGCCGUGCACGAUCACUUUUGAAUCAGCUUGGACCUUGGUAUAAUGUGAAACAUGGAAUCAAUGGACCAAAUCAAAAUCCCUUGAAAGAGGAGCUGCUCAAGUUUGACAAAAGUACUCCGGAGGUAGAUCACUCUCGCUACACCUAGCCUUUAACCACAAGAUUGACCCAAGGCAUUAACCCUCAAGCAUUGAUGAUCAGCUGGAACAUCUGAUGAUAUAAUUUGUGUUCUGUAUUCGUAGGUAGUAAAUAUUGCCUGCAGUACAGCGAAAUUAAGUUUUGAUUUUAAUUACUAAUCCAAGUUAGUGUCCAACGUAAUUUUAAGCCUUGGAAUUUGAGACAAAUUGAAGUAGCACUUGCAAUCGGAUCAUAUACGACCUAAUCUGACGAACUGUGUCUUCCAUAAUUGUCCUCACAGGAAGCUAAGUCCUAUAUACUAUCGUGUCGAUUUGCUUGCGAAGGGGAGCCUUUGUUUGUUGAGUACAUGACCCAGGUCACUAAAGAGCGUAAAUUUGGAGCAUUUGCGUUUUUGAUACACAUAAGUUGAUUUUCACCCCGUAUAGGCACAUUUUGACAGACAUUUUGAAUUGACUGAUAUAUUGGACUGAGUGCAUAAAUUCCAUUCUGUACUUUCCUGUAUGUAUGUAUAUAUAUAUAUAUAUAUAUAUAUAUUGCCUGGGUGAUGAUGAACCUGAUAGUUGCUUAAGAGGUCGGUUGGAACCUGGGUGGGUUGGACAGAAACUAAAUGACAUCCUCGCUUCGCGAUUUCCUUGCAACGUUGAUGAAUUGGAGUUGAUAAAAAGCUUCAACGAAACAAUACCUAAGCCGCGUAGUGAUGCACGCAUUGUGUCGGAGCUAAACAGUAUUCUUGAAAGAUUGUAUGAUAUACUCAUUGAACCUUUCUCGGAAUUUUUUUGGUUCAAGCAUCUGGACCCAAAAUCAGCGAUAGUCUUUGUGCCUGACAAGGUAUGCGACGUACUUUAAGCUCAUCACAGGUGGCACCUCAUGAGAUCUGGAUUAGUGCGUCAAGCGUGGGUCCCCCUUCAUGAAUAACUGUAUCACUUUGAUUUCAUUGAAUAGGGGCCUAACUAAUUUUAACUUUUUUCUUUCGAACAUCUUAUUCUACACCCCCGACAUGCGGUUCGAACUUGCAGAUGUAUUCCAAACUCAAAUGUAGUUGCAGCUUCUUUGACACUCAAUCUUAAUCAGAUGUGAAUGUAGCCGAAAACAUUCUCACUCAUACGUGUCCAGAAACUGGCGUAGCUUUGGUUGAACAUGAGUCCUGAGGAAAUUCUUGUAAUUUUUUAUUUUUUCAGAAUCGUGAUCAAGUUGUGGAAGAGUAUGGGCAAAGAUAUAUAAAAAAUUUGUCCUGUAUAUAUGCCUUCAGAUGCUCUACAGAGUGCUGUUUGCAUUACUUCGAAAUAAAAAGACCCAAAAGUAUCUUUUUCAGCUACACCCAAUAGCAGUUUCUCCCUCGUUGCGAGUACUGCAGCACUGCAAACAGCGCGUACGUGACCUUGAUACAUUUCCAUUGAAACCAGAUAGGUGUAGCUUGGCCGUGGGAAAUGCUACGUACGAUCCUGGAACAGGGCAAGGGCUGGAGCACCUUCGAAUGUGUUUCCCCGGACGAGUGAAGGCACUCGAGAGAGAAGAGGCUACCCGUGCCAAGUUUCUGGAGCUGGUGAAGGAGGCCAAUCACUCCAAAGAGCAGCAUGUUUUUGCAUGUAUUCACCUGGGAGUCCAUGGUCACUGGAGAGAAAUCCCAAGUUCAUGUCGAUAUGGAUGAGAGAAAGGCCGAACAAUACACUACGGGUUCUCUGGAGUUUUCCAGGUCCAUCGUCCAACGAACUGGAGCGUCAAUGGUGUCAAGCACAGGUGAGGUUUGGGUUUUGCAUUAGCUGCCUCUGUACGUUUAAUUCGCAUUACUUGUUUUGGCUGUAAUGCACCCCCUGGGUUGAAUUCGUAAUUGAUCACCCUUUCAUGGCUUCUUUCAGUAUCAGCUACAAGCAGUGGCGAGUUAAUUAAAAGAGGUCAAUCUUGUGCGUUGUCGUUGGAGGAGUUCGAAUCUGAAGUAGAACUAUCGAGCCAUGCUGAAAGGCAUGGAGCUCAUGCAUGCGGGGAAGUAGGUGCCAUUCCUAGGGGGGAAGUGCUACGGUUCCACAGCUGCCGAGAACAUGCUUCCAUCAGAGGAUAUCGUCAAGGGUGGCUUCCAGUGGCGGACGCGUCUAGUGGUUCUUAGUGCAUACAAUGCAUCAAGAGGACGGGUGAUCGUACUUUUCUCCAUGAGUUUGUGUAUUCUAACUCUGCCGGGUUUUCCGGAAGGAUUUUCAAUCUUGUUGCCAUAGUCUUGGUGCCAUAGUCAGGGUUUGCUAGAGCUUUCAUGAAUGUUGCAUAAAUAGUCGAUCUACCUGCAAGACUAUUAGUAAUCUGCGUGAACUACCAAAUUUGCAAUCAAAUUUGUUUAGACUCCAGCCCGUGGCCGUGCACGUGAUGCAUGUAAAUAUAAUCUUUCUAUCUAAAGAAAUUAAUAUUGAGCUGCAUCAUGCAGGACUUCAGUGACGGUGAGGUGAACUUGCCACGUGCGUUGUUGAUAGCAGGGGUUCCAGCCGCACUAGCGUCACAAUGGAAGUUCUCUGAUGGAUCUCCGACGUUGAUGAAAUUAUUUUAUGCGAACUUACAACAUGUGCAGGAUGUUGCUGCAGCUCUCCAAUCUGCUCUGAUACAGCUCUCCAACAAUCCCAACUCGGAGAUUGCAAAUAAUAUUUUCGAGUGGGGUCCGUCUCUGGUCUAGGAUUUGCCCACAGUUGAGCUUCCCAAGGAGUAAUGACAGAGAAUGCCAGAAAUGCUCUUCCCGCAAAACAUCGAGCUGAGUUGCUAAGACUCAAGUUGGCUGAUGUCGAAGACAAUGACACGGCAAAGGUGUUCUCGAAAGAGCUGAAGGCCAUGGACACUUUCUUGGAAUAUCGAGCUACAAUCCACUUUUGCUUGAAGAGGAAGCUAUCACUGCCACUGUCAGCGCUACAUAGGCGUUAUUGCUGGAACACUCACAUGAUCCUCACAUCUUCAAGGAGGUCCACGCAUUAUUGGAAGAGCUCUUCACAUUAUUGACCUUCAAACAGUUUCACAGGGUUGAGGUCGAGUUCGAGAAGCGCUGCACUACUGAUCUUAUUUUCAUGUUUAAUUUCAGGUAUGCAGCUUGUCACGUAUGGCUGUUUCUCGUUCCUGAUGUCUCACCUCACUGGUAUCAUUCUCAUUUAUAGCUGAAAGGAAGAUAGACACAUCAAAAUCCGACACUUCAACUUGAGAAAUGCUACCAAUGGAUUACUCAGGAACAUAUUAGUGUAAGUGCUGGUGUUGAAUAUGCAAGUUUUCUAGCUUAAUGUAAAACCAUUUAGAGCAAUUUUUAUAAAUACAAAAACUUUCAAAGCAAUUCAUUGUUGAGGACACAUUUCGCACGUGCAAUUGGCUAUUUGAACCAAUUUAAACCAGUCCACUAAUGGUUUUCUCUUUUUGAUAUUUCUUUGGUGGUUGUUUGAUUAAGGAAACGUAUGGUGUUCACGCAAGCCAUGAAUGGCAGUUAUCAAACAGCUCUUGACCAGGCCAAUGUGCUAAUUGACGCUAUUCAAAAUGAAUAUGUAUUGAUAUGUGACGACAAGUCAAUGCAAUCAUUGCCAGCCUUUGAGCUUUUAGUUAAGCAAGAAAGGGCAGUAGUUGUGAGACUCAUGGACAAGAAAGUAGAAGUGCUGAGAGAGUUCUUUUACAUAUUGGCUUAUGCAGAGAGUUAUCACUGCCUGAUCCAGAUCAGUUAAUUCAAGACUCUGAUGCAGAAUGAAAGUGGAGCACUGGAAUUUGCUAGACGAGCAAAACGUCUUGAGAGUCCCGACUCAUCUGAGCCUGGUCAUGUUGCUUUCAAAUUGAUUUUUAGAACACUCCCUGGUAAGUACCUCCAGUGGCUUUUGGGUGUGGAUAAGAGCGCAGAGACGUUAUUUUCUUCUGUUUGGAUGUGGACGGAAAAUGCAAGGAAGGCUCUGGCUGCGAGACAACGAUGUGAAUCGCUGACACGCAAGAUUGCUUGUAUUCAAAAGGAUGGUAUCAAGGUGAACUUGUUGAGGGAGUUGAAUACGAUUGACACUUUCUUGGCAUCCGCAUACAUCGCAUUUGUGCUUGUAGAAGGAGCUAUCUUUAAGGCGAUCUUCAGUGUACAUAUACUGUCAUCAUCCUUGCUUUAUGAUCCUUCUCCAAGGAGAUCUAUGCAUUACCUAAAGAUUUUUUCACAGUAUUUCCCUUAGAUCGAUCUGAAAAAGCUGAACUUGAGUUGAAGAAGCGCGGUAAUCAGCACGAGUUGUUUGAAUUCAGGUAAGUGACCGCAAAUUUUCGUCUCUUAAUUCUCACCAUUAACAUUUGAGCUGCAAAUAAUGUAAGAGUCUUUGUGCACAGCUCAUCCUAAACACUAUCUUCCAUGGUCAUUUUUAGAAGACACAUUUCAAUCGGGUCCCCUCACAUAUCAACCGUUUGGUGGACAUUGUUUGGAUGAAGGAUGCGCAUGAUGUACAUGCAAGCUGUGAAGGGCAGUUGUGAAAUGGCUUUGGACUAUGCCAACAAGUUGAUUGAAGAUAUACGCGGAAAUUAUCAUGAAGCUUGCAAGGAAUAUGAUGAUCUAUUCGUUAGGCAAGAAAGAGCGGUGAUUUUGAGGCUCAUGGGCAAGUAUGAAGAAGCUCUGGCAGAGUUCGAAGAUUUAUAGGCAGUUGACUCGGAGGAUUAUUAAUGCCUCAUUCAGUGCAGUUAUCUCAAGCAUCUAGUGGGGGAUGAAAGUGGAGCAUUGAAAUGUGCUGACCAGGCCAAAAAAACCCAUGGUAAUGCUGACUUGGAUUCACCUGGCAAGGGUGCACUCUGUUUGUCCUUGACUAUACUCCCUGAUGAUGAAUACCUGUACCGGCUUUUGAAGGCCUCACGGGCAUCAUCGUCCUCUGUUAGCUAGGACAUUUUAUAACUAAACAACUUCAUGCUUAUGUGAGUUGAGUAAAAAGGGAAUGAUUUAUGAUUUUUCUAUGUCUCAUUUCAUGUUGCAUUAAGUCACCAAAAAAAAUUCAACAUUUUGGUUCAAUAGUGACUGUGGAAUAAAAAAUCUAAGAAGGUAUUAUUCGGACUUGGUCCAAAUACAACUCACCUGUUACACAUACUUGGUCUUCCAAAUUUCAUGCACAGCAUUGAAUUUAUUCUCAACUUAUGUAGUUAAUACAUUCCAUGGCUUCUCUUAAUUAUUUUUCUAUUGAUUCUUAAAACUUGUAAUGUGAACUAUAAUGAUGGAAAAAAAGGUGGUCUAUAAACACAUAUUUCACUGGCUUUUUAUUUCAAUCUUGCACCUCAAAUUCCCUUUAAUAUGGGUUUUGCUAUUAAAUAAGCACAAUUAUAUAUAUUUAUAUUUAUAUUGCCUUGUUUAAUUUUUCUAAAUUAAUAUCUCCUACAAUAUUAUUUUGGGUGUUGUAUUAAUUUUCGUAUUGUACCAUUAGACAUUAGCCAUUAAAACUUGUUAUAGAAAGGAUCUCCCUAUAAAGUCAUAGGAGGCCUCUCUAUAAUCUCCCUGCAAUUGAGUCCUUAUUUAAAUGAAAAAAUCUAGAUUUAUUACAAAUGUUGUUUACUAUGUAAAUCAACAUAAUAUUCUAUAUUCUAUUAUAAAAACUAUAUUAUAUUCAAUCUUCUCAAUCCUCACAAUAUUCUUAAACUAAAAAUUAUUAUAUAUUUGUAGUUGCUAUUGAAAAUAUUUAAAAAAUUGAAAGCAUUUCAUUUCCUUCUUUUUUUUUUCAUUCAAAUAAUUCAAUGCCAACAUGAGAUUCAUGUCUUCUUAUUCUUAGGAUAUAUAGUACAUAAAUUGCUUACUUGAGCUAGAGCCUAAGUUAAAAAUAAAAUUUGAUGUUUUUAUUCUUUUUUGUCUAAAGUUUUAAAAUAUAAUUUAUCUAUAAUUCGACUUCAACUACUCUAAAAUGACUAACAUUGAUGAAGAUAUCAUAAAUAUCAUCAUAAAAUUGAAGUUUUAGGACUUAAUAAAACCAACCAUUUAUAAAGGAAAUUUUUAAUUAGACACUGCCUUUUUAUUACAUGGAUGCUCCCCAGGGCCACACACGUCCACAUAUACAUAAUAAAAUUCUUAUCUAUGAUAAAAAAAAUAUUCAAUAAAUUUACAAUGAAGGAUUUUCUAAAUAAACUUAAUAAGCUUUUUAAAGUGAAUAAAAGAAUUACAUGAAAUAUAAUAUGAAAUUUUUUAAUUUUAAUUUUAUUUUUAUUUUUUUUUAAAUGCAAUAAGCCAUUACACACACAAAUUUUAUUUUAAAUUCAUCUUAUAAAUUUUUAGUGUAAAUAAGAAUUUUAUUUUAUGUAUAUUAGAAUGUAAUGUGCAAGAAGAUGUUCAUAUAGUAAAAGAAAGGUAUCCACAUAGUAAAAGAGAGGUGUUUAGCUAAUAAUUUCCUUUAUAAACCAUUGAUAAGAAGAAAAAACUUGAAAGUCAAAAAAUCCCUAUGAAAGAUAAGAUAGCUAGCCUUGCAAUUUAAGCUAUGGCUAAUGAACAAGAUCUGUAAACUUUGACUAUAUUUUGUAUUAAAAUAUGUUCUAAUUGAAAAAAAUUACAUCCAUAAUGACCAAUAUAGUUUCCAUCGAAGAACCUUUUGAUAAUUUAUGAUUUAAGCAUCCUUUAAAAUAUCAAUACAAUCCAUUGGAGGAUCUUGUUGGAAUUCAAAGAGAUAUGUUGAAAAGUGAGCUCCACUUUUGAUGAGCUACAAUAAUGUAUUAUAUGCAUCAUGGUUAAGAAGAAAAAUCCUAAAAGUUUUAAAAUUCCUAAGCAAGAUAAAAUAACUAGCUUUACAAAUCCAAUAAUAGCUAAUAAAGAAGAUCCGUAAGCUUUAACUAAUUAAGCAAUUAAGUAUUGGUAGAUCCUGUAAUAUUAGAGGCACAAAUAUCAAUUAUUGUAUAAGUGAUUGUUCUUGUAUUAUAUUGAAGGAUUUGCUAAAGUAAUUAUUAUGUUAUAAAGUUUUUAUGAAAAGAUUCAACUUUGAGACAGUAUUCUAAGAUUAUAUGGGCUAUAUUUCCUAAGUGUAGUAAAGAUAUAACUUGUAAUAUUUAGAAAAAAUAUAUGUAAAAUCUGUUUAUUUACAUUUUUAUUAUUUUAAGUGUUUUAUUACAAGAUCAAAUGUAGAUAUACACUUAGAAAUCUAUUAAUGUGUCUCUUUAUUUGCAAUUAGUACAUUAAAAGUUACAAGAUUUUCAAUUAUAAUAUAUCAAUCUUUAUACAUUGUUAAGAACAAAAACUUGAAGAAUGUAAUUAAACAAGAUAUAUCUUAAAGAAAGAUGACAUAAAGGGAAUGAAAAAGUAUGUAUAUUUAAGAAGAAAUUGGAAUGGCUAUUGCUAAAGACAAAAAAAUUAUAGACUCUUGAAAUUAGACUAGAAGCAAAAAAAAAAUUGGCAAGAGUGAGGAAGGCCUCACUAUUGCCAGUUUAUAUACUAUUUAACUAAGAAACUAUGUAGCAAUGUUCUAUAAGUUAUCUAACAUGUGUCUAACUUAUUAGCCAAGUUUUUAACCUAUCAAUCACCUGUAAACACUUAAGUCAAAUCUGCAUUUAUAAAGCUUCUAAUGAGCUUCUCCAUAAGAUAUUAUUAAAUUUACCUACUUCUACUUAACUCCUCUUAUCUAAGUUAAUACUAGUGUUAAUAUAUAUGUCUAUGAUGCACAUAUAUUCUUAACAAGCAUAUUAUAGACUAUAUUAAUUUCAUGUACAUUAGAGGAUAUUCUAUUUAAAAAUACAUUAAAGGCUUUCCACUAUCCACCAAAAGAACAAAAACUCUAUUUUAGCUAAUUUUUGAAAUUCAUAAUUUUUAGAAUUGGUUCAAUCCAAAAGUAAUUAAUGAAAUUAGUUCUUCAAUUAAAAUUUUAAUUAAUAUGUGUCAAUUUAAAUUGCAUUACUUUUCUUCAAACUAUUAGAUUUUUAACUUGUAAAAUAAUUUUAAAAGAAAAAUAAUUCUAUUUUUAUUUUAAGUCUUGUAAGUAUCUUAUUAUAAUACUUUAAAUUUGUAUUACACAACUACUCUUCUAUUACUCUUCAUUAAUGAAUUGAUAUAAGUUGCUUCAAAAAUUGAGGGUUACAAAUAUAUAAAUAUAUAUAUUCUCCACAUUAUCAUUUUUAUGUAAAUUAUAAUACCAAACGUACUUUUUUUUAAAUUAAAUUUUCCUGAUGAUGAGCUAAGAAUGAUAUAUAAAUUGUCUGUAAAAAAGCAUUCGUAGAUCACUUCAAAUACUAUUUUUACCACACAUUUGAAUAUCAAAAUUUUAAAAUACUACAUGUAGUAAAACGUAUAAAAAGAAUUUAAAAAAAAAAUGGUAGAUAAGGACUUUAUUCAUACCAUAACAUGACAAAAUACAACAUAUAUAUCGAUAUCGAAACACAACAACUGGUAGAAAAAGAUACAUAUAAAUAUAUAUAUAUAUAUUCAAGAACAUCGAUUCAUUCUGAAUAGGCUGAACUAGAGUAGAAGUCCAAUUUGAGUAAAAUGAAUAAAAAAAAAACAAACAUGUUCAAAAAUCAAAACAACUUACUCAGUAAUCAAAUCUUCAUGUAUUGAAUGUAUGUGUUGUCACGUAAAUUUUGAUGCUCAUCACAUCUAUCACAGCAAGUAACUCAUCACCUGAACCCUAAACCAUAUUUCUUCUAAUUACACAAGCAAUCAAUAGCAUUAUAGACGUCGCCACCACGUCUUGUAGCUUCUUUGAGUGUUCCUCUUUCAGAUCGGAGGGUUUGAUCGGUGAGAAUUGCAAUUUCAUUGAGAAGGUGAAUCUCAGUAACAGGCAAGCUUUAACCCUUCGCAUGGAUCUGGUGGUUGCUGGAUUAGUUUACUGAUUCUAGAAGUCAGUGUCUAGCAUUCUAAACCGGAUUCAGCGCAGGCAUUUCGGCUCAGUCAUGAAGGACGGCCGAAGUAGCAAUGAUAUACAUCGAUCAACAGUAAAUUCAUGAUACAAUCGUGCGCAUCAGAAAAAUUCAGUGAUUGCGAAUAGUAAUCUCAUACUGGAAAUCCCGCUCCAAGGUGAUGAAAUCUCUUUGAAGAGGUGGGGAUUAAAAACUUUCUUGCGCAGUUGGGGUGACGGCAUGAGUGGGUGAGCGAGGCGCCAGUGUGUUGCGAAGACCUUUGUGUGCCUCGCAACGCUUGCGCUCCGGUCGUGGCGGAUCAGCGCACACAGUGCCGUCCGGAAGUCUCAAUCCACAGAUGUCGCGUCGUGAAGGUGAACGACUGACUGAAGACUCCAGCUGUGAUUCCUCGCACGUCGGCAAGAUGCCGCUGUAUGUGGAACUUCGUUUGGGUCCAUCAGGACGUGAGUUCCCCGCCCCUGCCUGGUUCAUCUCAGCCCAUUCUCGGCUCUUGGCCAUGCGGAGCUCAGACGUGCGCAACCAGGAGUUGAACGACAAGCUGCCGCGCCUUUUUGGCUCGGGGGAUGACCGUGAUGGCACCGAAGCAGGCGCAAUGGAGAACGGGAAGCAAGAGGAUGACGUUGGCUCUGGACCUGGCAAGAUAGGGGACUCGGGAGCGUGAUGGAUAUGAUGUUGCGUCUCCGGCGAUGAUGAUCCGGCCCUGCUACUUGGUAUGUGAUGUGCGAUGCUGGAUUGGGGUGUAAGCACUACUUUAACCUGUUUUCCUUGAUUUUGCUUUUUUGAAUCCUUGUGCAGGAGACAUCGUUUGCCACCUUUCACCGGGAGGGCGUUGCAGGGGUUUCCAUUCUCUAAUGGCGCCCCGCAACGGUCAAGCGGGAUGUCGAAUUUGGUGAAUUCACUACUCUUGGAGAUUUUCCCUCCCAACUGUGAGCUGCUCUUGAAGAGGGUGAAGAAAUCUGCGACUCGGCUUCGAUCUGCCCUGCUGCCAGCGCGUCCACAACCUUCCUGGAUUCCAGGUUUUCGAGCGGCAAUGACAACACCGACCUUGGACUUGGGAGAGAAGAACCACGUCCUGGAUGAUCUGACGCCGAAACAAUCAUAAGAGGGGUCGUUAGACCCGAGCGCACCGCCCAUGACAAUCUUCGAGACCACAUCCGAUGAUCGUUGGCGGAAGUUCCCGCCUCGUUUCCAUGCGUAGUCGAAUACCUCAAUGAGAUCUGCCUCCGCCUUUUCCGCCAUUAUUUUGUUCUCAGUCUGCACUUGUGCAUCAAAACACGAAGGCACGAAAAUUGAGAGCUGUCAUCUCGCAGCUCGCAUAUUCAAAAAUUUACAGUGAAACAAAAUUUAGGGAAGACUCACCACACUCCAACGGAAAGCUAUGGAGCAACCCAAGGCGAAAACUUCGGAGAAAAGACGGGGACCUCGACGACUCGGUGAUCGAAUUCCGGCAGCUUGGUCGUAAGAACUCGUCCUCUUGUGAUGCUCCGAAAUUGAAUGCGCAUCCGAGUUAGUCCCAUCCAUACUCGCAUUGCUCAUCGGCCUGCUCCCGCCGCUCAUGUACCCGCCAUCGCCGCCCGGACCCCUGUCAAGACUCAUGUUGAGGCUACCAAGUUCCAAGUUGAAACUCCUCGAUUGGGAUAAGCUUUGUACAUCUGCAGCGCUUUUACUAGCUGUCUCGUUCCCAACAGCAAAUAGUCUCGUCGAUCUGCAAGCGACCAUGCCUGGAAUCAGUAUUAUGAUGUGUAAAAUGCGUAACAUGGAGGAAUAACCUGCAGAAUUAGGAGAACGGACCUGGCACCUUCGAGGUGAGCCCCCGUCUGACCGAUGCGAAAUAAGUGCUGGUAGACGUUUUCAGCGCAUCCUAGAUACACCACCACCACGUCUUGAGGUUUCAGGAAGCCUGAGUAGUUGCUACGUUGGGGUGGCAGCCAUGCGGGUGGCGUGACUCCCAGCUCAAAUAUGCCGGCGCCACUGUAGUUGCUGGAUAGGUUGCUAGUCCGGAACCGACCAGGAAUCUUUCCAGAUGCGUGGUCCUUCCAAUCUGUAGGACCGACGAGAACCUGAAGCGGACAAUACACAAUCCCACGACAAUAUUCUGAUUGGGUGCUACUAUAGAAUCGAAGGCCCUCGGAUGCACAAUUCCAGAUCCUUGAUACUAACAUUUAGAAACUAAAGUAUAUGGCCUGUGCUGAUAGCGUAAAACCCACUCAUCUCGCAUUCGAUGGUUACUACUGAGUUGGAAAAAGCUAAAAGCAUUCGAGACUGCAUUUCAGUGUACGAGACAGUACAGUUAAGAUAAUACUGCAUCUAGUCUUUCACGAAUUUGGAGAACGCCCUACAUUUGAGCUAAUGAGUAUGGCUUCAAACGCACUUCCAUUAUCCUAAGGCAUAGUUUUCUCGCUAUUUUCUUUUCCUUUACGACUGAUGAGAGAAUUAAAGUAUCAGGAAACGAAUCCAGCAGCGGAAAAUCUCAAAGAACCCAUUAUGAAUUAUCAUGGCAUUUGAAUUUAAUGCUUGUAUGUGUCGCCGAGCAGUACCACUUAAGGAAGGAGAGUCCUUUGGGACACUGAACAGCUGGGAAGCCAUAGUCGCAGAACGAGGGAGGAAGACAAGUACAUGUGUCGAACUUCAAUUAGUGGUCACUACAAAGAAUGUGUACAAACACAUACCUUCCAGUCGGAGAAACACUCGUCAUGCUUCACAUGCGUAUGAUUCUCUCGCUUCAACCGCGGCUUCUUCUUCGGGACAUCUCCAGCACCUGCUUCUGGACGGGGCUGCGGCUGCGACUGGGGCUGGGGCUUAUCAGAUACCAAGCCCAUACCGCUGCCAGCCCCUAAAAGAGGCAUUCGUCGUCUAUAUACUCCUCUCCCCCCCUUAAUUUAUUCAGAAAAACCCUGUAUGAGGACACCCUCUCACCUCCACUUCUGCGUGCGAAGCAAAGAAAUUGAACACAUUCUUUGAAAAUCGAGCCGACAUGCGAUAUCGCUGACGAUAACAUUAACUCGCAUACUGAUAUCAAGACUUAUCGUAAACUAAUACCGUAAGUAGAUUCUCUGAAUUCACCCUUCGGAAAAGAGCCAGAUGAAUAUCAAAUUCUAACAAUGUACAUCCUAUACUCAUUCUGCUUUUCAAUAUGCUCUGAAUGGAGGGCUGCCGUUAUGAGAAGUGAGGAGGAAGCUUAAGAUUGCUAAUUACUGCUGUAAUAUCAGAUGAAGCAAUCUGCAAAUUACGUCUACUAAUGUGUCUACAGCACUAAAGGCUUAAGUUGUUCCUACAAAGAGGCCCUGAAAUACCCCUGCAAGUCGCCUAAUAUCUCUAACCCCAAAAAAGUAGAAACUCGAAAAAAUACAUACCUACGUCCAGACCAGACGCACUCAUAAACCCGAAUCAAAAAGAAAAAAAGAAAAAAACCAAUGGAACGAACUCUACAGUUUCACAAAACUCUCAGAGCUAGGUUUCUUGCAAGAGGCUCCAGCAGCUAGUUGCAUCAGUAAGCGCCCCAGAAAUCGCAGCCACUCAAGAUACCUCAAUCCACAUCACCUUUCUGCAAAUCUUCUUGUUUGAGUUUCCUGUCAACUUCCCGAUCUUUAUCAGGAGAAAUCAAUCCACCAUUUGCAAUGCAAUCGACAGCAAGCACGUCAUCACAUACUCCUUGUUCCCGGCACACACAAACCCCCAUUCUAUCAUCACUUAAAUUCUUCGGCAAACCCUCGUGAUGAACUCGACCCCAGUGAACAGAACCCCUCUCCCAUGACACACGAGUCGCCACCCUCGCCUGCUUGCCACACUACAAACUCCUAAUUGGGCACCCCAGCAAGUGAACAUUCCCAGUGCGGCGACCGCGCAUUCACCUCCACGCUGGUAUCUGCAUGAGACGCGGUGCUUGAGGAGUAAAGCGAAUCCUGGUGACCACAAUUUGGCGCGACUCUCCUGGCAGAUCCUGUCCACAAUCCUCUCAUACCGAGACAGCCGCGAAACCUGCUGAAUUUUCCCACCAUCCCAAGCAAACGUACGCUCCUGUACCUGCCAUUACUGAACAGCGCCCUCCCAUCGGCGUCCCUCUUCACAUCGCUCGCAUUCCAGAGCCCCUCACUUUGUCACGGCUCCUCCUACUUCGCCUCCACGCCCCAUGCUCCUUUAUCCCAGUCAUCCCUCGUCUCCUCCAACCAGCUGUGCCCUUACCCAAAAAAAGACUUUACGCCAUGCCGACAAAACUUCGGGCCUGGAAUUCUCUGCAACGAAUUUCUGGAUUCGCGAUCUUAUCCUCCGCGAUCAUUUCGACAACAACGCUGCAGAUCCAACGAAAAUACAUUUCGGCAUGCGACAACGCUGAAUUACCUCAUGCUUUCUCUUGACUUGUUGUCGAAGAGAUUGGAUCAUUUGUCGCCUCGCGGACUACGUUGUGGAUGGGGAUUUGGAACGGGAUGGAAAUAAAACAUAGAGGAACAAUAAGAUAUCUUAACAGGACAUGAUAGAUUUAAUCUCAGCUGAUAAUAAAGUAUUUGUGUACAUACAUUUCUGUGCAUUUUGGUGUAGUGUGGUUUCAUUUUUUCGCUUCUGUAGCGCUAAAUUCUCUCCUGAUGGAAUAUAUAUAUAUAUAUAUAUAUAUACAUAACCUCAAUAGGAAAUAAUUACAGAGCUCCCACAUAGCUACAAAUGGAACUAAUUUUCAAAUAGAUUCAUAUGAAAUGAUUGCAUAUUAGCAUGUUUGAUAUUUCAAACCUUUCCAUCUACAAAUGUGUAUGUGUAUAUAUAUAUAUAUAUAUAUAUACAUGAACAUAUCUGUAUGUUUUGAAACAAGCACAUACGAUGUAAAUAAGAUGAAACUGUGUAAAAUAAUCAAAACCAGAAUCGAAAUGAUAAUUCCAAACUAUUAAGAAUCUUUGAACCCAUUGACAAAGAAGGCAAAGUAGGCAGAAACCCCCUACAGUGAACAUCUAGGUGUGAAAAAAGGAUUGUGUGUGUCAUUCUUCCACUUGGUUUGGUUAACAGAAAGCUUAGAGCCCGCAAAGAGAAGACCAAUGCGAGGUAAUGGGUUUGUAUAUAGUAAAAGACAAAAAGCACAGCUUGAGGUUCUGUAUCCUUUAUCUUUCCCCUAUAAACGGAAUAAGUCCCCUGACUUCGAGGCAGGACAAAGGCUGCCCAAUGCCAAUGUAAUGCGCGUUGUGCACACCCAACCAAUGGAAGCUAACCACGGAAUUAAAUUAUUCAUGGAUUUCAGGUUCUAUGGUAAUAGGGUGAUUUUGUGCCUGACCCUUUUACGUGGUCGAAAAGCCCUCCAACACUCUCGUGAAUGAGCUCCAACUCCUCAAGCUUUGUUUAUUUUGGUUGUUUCCCCUCUCCCUUUGGUCAUGGCAAUGCAAAAAAAUUAAUGAUACAUGUAUGUAUGUUUAAGAUUACGUAAGUAUACGUUUUGCUAAUUUGUGGGUAUUUGGUUUGCUCUCAUUUGUACGUUACAAUCUAGAUAUCAAUCCGUCUUCAACAAGUCAUAUCUAAUUUGUAAUUUAUAAUUUUAACUGCUCAGCAAAGCCGCACUAUAUAUAUAUAUAUAUAUAUAUAUACACAUAUUCCUAAAUUAAUACUAUUAAUAACUUAAAUGUAUAACUUAGAUUAUAUUACCCAUUUCUUUUUAGAUCUAAAAAAAUCAAAAUGAAAGGUUGAAUACUAAUAAAGAAUCGGAUAAUUUCUUAACAAUGUAUUUUUCAUUGUGGCCAAACCAUCCACCAGUGGUAAUUUUAUUUCAUUUUAAUUAUUGUGUCACUUCUUUAUAUCAAACACUGUCCAUGAUCUUAUGUUUUCAUUCCAAUAAAAAAAUUAUAUAUCUAUUUUUAUUUUUCAUUUAAAAAAUAUAUUUCUUAACUAUAUUAUAUAAGGUUAACAACAAAAAUAUUUUAAAUCUCAGUUUUACUGAUGUAAUACUUUGGUUUUAAUCAAAAUAAUUUUGGAAUCAGCAUGUACUUUAAAAUUCUCUGUUGUGCAGAGACCUUGAAGUAAAGAAUUUAGUGAUUAUUUUUCAAAAUCCCAGCAUAUAUAUAUAUAUAUAUAUAUACACACACCAAAACUUAAUAGUGAUUUUUAAAUUAUUAAAAAUUAUUUAAUAUAAGAAAGAAGUCACAUAGAUAUUACAAAACAUUUAAUUAUCCAUAAUAAUAGUUAAUAAACUUCAAACGAUUAUUUAAAACGAAUGAUUCAAAUUGAAUAAAUAGUGACAGAUAUGAUCUUAGCCUUAAACAAAAUCAGAAGCACUUCUACUAUAUAUUGCACAAGUCAUUGUUGACUUCUAUUCAAAAAAUAGCAUACUUAUAUAUCAUUUUGUGGUUUUACUACAUUAUGAUGGUUUUCAACAAUAUUCUUCCAACACACUUAGAAUUCUAUGUCUUUCUUCAAUCAUCAUUAUGUGCAAUGUUGCUUCUCCAUGCUCCAGUGCUUCUUUUUUCCCAAAAUAAAUAAAAAUUCAACAAAAAAGAAUUCAUAAGUUAUAGCAGAAGUACAUAAUAUCCCCAAAAUAUAUUUGGCAAACCAUGAAUCAUAUCUAAGCUCAAUAUAGACUCUCCACGUUUCAAGCUUGAAGGCUUUCUGCAUAUGGAAAAUUUUGACCCGUAAACUGGAUGAGUUUGAAGCUGGCUUAGAUCCAUUUGUCACAUUUUUCCUUUCCACGGAAAGAAACAAAUGUGAUAGAAUGUGAGGAGCUUUACAAAAUUACAACACAUUGAAGGUUGUAGAAACCCAACAAGUGGGUCAUUGAUGGAAAGAGAGACACCCACAUGAAGCUUCAUCUGUACCAUGAGAGCUUCAGCUUGCUGGUUGCAAUACAAUGAAACAUGGUGAGCUACAUCCUUGCGGAUUGCCGUAGCCAUAGCCAUAGCCAUAGCUUCUGUAACUCAGGCACUGGCUUUGGAUGUAGUGAUGGACAGGCAAUAGGGGCUGCACUCCUGUGCUGAUUUCAGUUCCUCCAUGUGACAAGCAGGCUGUCAAUGCCCAGGCUUCUACUUCUUCUUCUUUUUCUUCUUAUUCUUCUUAGACUCCUUCUCAAUUUCACCUUUCUCUGUACCAGAUGACUUGCUUAUCUUAGUUUCUCUCUUGAGUGUACCCAUCUUGCGUCUGUACCUGACCUCUUUCUCCAGCAUGCAGGUCUCGUAUUCCAAUGCCCAAGCGCUUUGCUGUGUCUUCCGUUUCCUUUCAAGUUCCUGUUUCAGCUUGCCUCUCAUCUUCUUUUGCUCGUCCCGUAGUUCGGUAGCUCGCUUCUGGAACUUGUCUGCCGCUUUCUUCCAAUUGUGUGACUCAGCUGUGAAUCGUUUGCCUUGUUCUUCUGUUUCUUUGAUUCGAAGUUUCCCUUCCUGCAGACGUCUCUUCGUAAGCUGACCAAUGCAAGAUCUUUAGCAAUAUUGGCUGUACACACGGCUGGGGAUGCUAACAAGAGAAGGUGAAGCAAACCCUGAUGCUAUAAAGACUGGACGAUAAAUGUGUCAAUGUCAUCACGGGUUACGAGUUUUAGACUCUGCCUUCAACUUUUCCGUUUUGAUUUUAAAUGACUUCUCAAGCUCUGGCAAGACUAGGUCUCUGUAAUAUAAGAAUUUCCUGUUGUGUGUUGUCAAACUGACGAGUCUCUCCUUGGCCUCUCUCUGCUCUUUUUGGAGCCUCCAAACAUCUCCUGCAGCCAUAUCUCUUUGCAUGACAGCCUCCUGCGAGCAUGUGUUUGAUGUGAGGAACAAGGAAUUCUGUCGAGUCUAGAUUGGAAAUCCUUCCUCCAUCACAGCUUUUGAAUAAGUUAGGUCAAUUACACUUGCUUAAAAAUUCUCCUACUUUGAUUGAUAGAUAGGCAAUUGGAGUCGAAUCAACUAUCUUUUCUCAAUAGACACUGACUGAUUCACUCUCUGGAUACUUACCAGUUUCAGUCCAAGAUUUUGGCUGCUUUGGGAUAAAAUUACAUAACAUAAGAAAUAAAGAGUACCCGUGUCAGACAGACUUGGUAUCUGUACUUGAGGUUUUGGAUUUUCUCCUGGUGAUUCGUGAUGUCAUCUUCGAGACUCACAAUUUUCAUACGCAAACCUGUAUAACAAUUCUGCUGUGAACAAGCUAUAUUUUCUUAAUCACUAUUGUUAAUGUCCCUUGCAUCUAAAAGACCACACGAUCUGGCUCGUUUGAUAGUGAUAAAAUCGGGAUGGAGGUAGGGUUCACAAACCUGCUAUCUUUGAAAGCAAGCGGCUAUGACCUCCUGUUCGUGGUGCAUUGGAUCCGGCUGUAAUUUCCAGGUCUUCAAUUUUUUUCUCUAGUUUUCUGCAACAUUAAUUACUACGAUCUUUCACGUCUUGACUACUGCUAAUUUACUCAGUUAUCUAUUUUUUGGUAAUUGUUUUUCUUUUGCAACAUGAGGUUAGAAUUGAGAUUCAAUUUCAAAAUGGUUUUAGAUUUAUGUAAAAGAGAGUAGAUGUCGUAAUUUUAUUGGUAAUGACACAGAUCUACGCAAGUCAAGUCCCCAUUAUUGUACGUUCUCACAACCAGUGAGAAUUCCACAUACACCACAACUGACGAAUGUUGCGAAUUUUGAAGUUUAGAGAAGCGAAUAAAACCGACCUCUGCUUUGCUCGGAGACCCUGAAGGUGAGCUUUGUGGAGCAGGAAGUGAUAAGCCUGAUAAGCCACCGCCUCCUUCAAACUUUGCAAUUCAUUUAAAAGACUUUCCUUGUCAGAGUACUUAUUGAAUUCCAGCUUCCGCACUUUAACCUCGGGCGUUGAUUCUCUCGCAUUCACAGAACAUGUUUCUUCCAUCAGACGCUUUACAGCCGAGUUGGAACCACCUGCAAAGUCUGAGUUAAGAUCAAAUGGACUAGGAGAUUGCCAUCUGUAUCUGCACCCGCAUCGGAGGACAAGGCAUGAAAUAAACUAUUAUCACAAAUAAAUUUGCAGGAAAAUUUGAAACAAACAUGUGAGAGGUAUUCAGAAUGCUGAUGUAUCGUAUACAAUUAACGUCGUUAUACUUACGUCGAGGUCGUAGCAUCAAGUAAAGGGCAUAGCGUUUACUCGGCCGUAAGUCAUGGAAUUGCUGUAUUAGAAGCAAUGCAAAUUAAAGGCGUUUAGUGAAGGGCACUUCCAAGCGGGGCUUAUUUUUGGUACUUUUCUGAGGAAAUACGCAAAAUCAUCACGUAAAAACACGACGAUGUGAUUUGAAGGGGAUGGUAUUAUCGAGUUUUUGGAGAGUUGCAGAAAUGGCCAACCCCAUGGAUCGGACGUCGUCAACUUCGAUGUCGAGCUUGGAGACCUUGGGAAUCCAGUAGGCGAGCCUUGUCUUGAUCCUGCUUUUGGGAAGCCACCUCUGGAUGAACGUGGGGAGCUAUCUGCUGAUCGAAAGGCCCUUGGCUUAGUCUUUAAGAGUAUCUUCGUGGCCUCCGAUGCACCUGUUCCCAGGAACGAUGGCUUUGGAUUACCCCCGUUACGUAGCCUAUUAAGCUUACUCAGUGGAUUCCUUUUGCCAUUAUCUGGUAACACUGGCCUUGGUGAAUUUCGGGAGCUAUCUGCUGAAGCUGAUCGUGGCGACUUGGAUUUCGAACCAUCAGCUGACGAUGACUUGCUCUGGUGAUGUGGCUUCUUAGACUUGCCGCUUGAGCUCGGCCUUUCGCCAUCUGCAGAACCUGGCCUUGAUUUUCCCUUGGACAUCUUUCCUGGUCACUAUGACAAUCGUGGGACAAUUGUAAAUUGUCUCAAGUUUCUUCUUCCUGCAGCAACGAAUGAUUUCCAGGAUUACGCACCUAAGCAGCCGACUGGCGAGUUCAUCUGAAGGAACUAGCUGUUGCAAACAAAUCAUCAAGGCAGAGCUGUAAUCCGAUAGUGGAUUUGUACCAGAAGCUCACACCCAACUCUGCGCUACAGUAGAACAAUCCUUCGCUGGCCCUAUCCAGUGGCCGUUGGAGUACAAGAUCCCAGCCACCACGGACUAUGAGUUCAAGAUCAACUUGUACGAUGACUAAUCACCACAUCGUCUUCAUGUCAGACGGAAAAAGUAAGCACAACACAACAAUGAAUUUUGAUCACAUUGCGACAAGAAUCGCAGAUACUGCAGUUACUCCACAACAAUCCUCCAGCAUCACGACAAAUCUGCCUCAUACUGGUCAGGUUAAACACGCCCACCCAUCCAUACGCCUGAACGUUCUGAUAUCAAUUCCGUGGAGAGAGAAGGUGAUGCUAAAUUUGGAAGUUUAGGGUCAUCUCCUGUGCUGAAUCAUUAACGUAUCUUCGAUGGAGUUCCUGCGCAGAUUUAGUUUUACUACGUUGUUCUAGGCUACAGAUAUGAAUGCCAGUCAUACCCCACAGCCAUAAGAUUGCAGCCCAGCAAUCAGUGGGAAAGGAUCCCAAGCUCCUUCUUCGGAAGCUCCUUCUUCGGAAGCUCCUUCACAAACCUGCUCUCAACUCCCAGCGAUUGCCACAGGAGACGAGAAGUUGCUUACCUUUAAACACGCACAAAAACCCUUGACGAUUCAGACAGACAUUGCAACGCCUCCACCCCGACCUGCACAGGAGUUUCUAAGGGUCACCAGUUGGGUGGCGUCUCUAGCUCAUUAAACCUUGCAUCAUACCUUAUUGUGUACCGUCGAACAACGACAGUUACUUGAAUCAUAGAAGGAUUCAUCACUUCGCAUUCAACACAACUGCAAACAUUUAAACCAUUGAAGGACAUGGAUCGGUAUCCUUGUGCAAACGAUGAAAAACCUUGUGCUACUGCACCUAGUGUCAACACAAUCAAUAGUGAACAACACAUGAAAUGCUGAAGACGGUUCAAACCCAUAUUGCUCAGAGGAAAUUUGUGAGUAAUCAUCAAUGCUGCACGUAGUCCGCGAAGAACUCUGUAGCCAUUCUUGACACCCCCUACAUGUGAUCUCGUCAGUGGCCGUUAAUUUACUCGAUAUUGUUGUUAGAAAACUUUCAUCUCUGCAAAUUUGAAGAAAUUAGGUUGAAAUUGUACAUAAAAUGUUUCCAACAAAGGAUUCCCGAAGAAAGUGUACGUUAAGUCAGUUAAGAAACAGAUAAUUAUCUCUCAGUGUCGAUAUUUGCAAGUUAAAUUCUUAUUAUUCUAAAAAACGAAAUUGUUUUGGUCGCAUAUACUACGAAGCUUACGUUCAAAACAUAAGAGUUGGAUUAAAAUGAUAAAAACUAAUAGUAUUCAAAAGAAAAACACAUGCACAAGAACAUAUACUGCAUUAAAGGUCAUUUCCACAAUGUGCUUAAUCUACAAAAUCGUAGUUAGCUGCAUACAAGUAAAACGUUCAAAGGAUGUCAGCAAAUCCUUUCAUCGCUUCAACCACUGAUUCCGUGAACGACACCUUUGAGACAUUCUGGUAAAGGUUACAACCCAAAACCAUAAAUUCCCAUAUCGUGAAUACAUAAGGCACACAUUGCAAGACUAGAGAGGUCUCCUCCUUGAAUUGAAUCAUAUUAACUUCUACAUUCAAGUGCCGCUCGAUUUCAAUUCUUCCGCUCACACGUUUUCAAAAAGGAUAGUAAACAUAAUGAGCGAUAAUUCAUACAAGGAUUGAACAUGACAAAUCGAGUAAUUCUCAGAACCAGGUGCACAACCAGCACGAAAACUCCGACAACGGACACAUUAAUUUCUUUCCUCAAAACCGUGAAUAGAGAAAAUCUGUCUGCUCACAGUCCCUCUUCACAUAAAAACUUGACACUCAUUUUCACCUUCAACCAACACAAUCCCUGCUCGUUCGCUAGGAACAGAAGUUGCUGCAAACCCGCUGUAAGUCGGAUUGCAUUCAUGUAUCCGACUGCAAGACAGACUCUUCCGCAUUCUACCAUCUGCUACUGGCCUUGACACUGUGUCGAAGCAAGGUGACGCACGGAGUAAACACAACCGUUCGUCAUCACAUGUUCCGAACACCAACGUUGCGACAUUUCAGGGAUCAGCGUCUCCCGUGGCACACCAAAACACGUUCAUUCUUGUGUAAUCAUCCUUUACUGAACCAGCGUGGCUGGAAACACCCAACCGCCAAUAAUUUGCAACACUUACUCCUCUAUGGUACAGAAUGCAAGGCGAUCUUGCGCCUCAGCCGUCAUCUCUUCGACGGAUCAUACAUCUAGUUGCCGGGAACGAAGUUGGUGGCGUAUGCCCAUGCGUUGUUCGCAACGGGGUCAGCCAGGUGGUCGUUCAGGUUCUCCAGGGGUCCCUUGCCGGUGACGAUAGCCUGGACGAAGAACCCGAACAUUGAGAACAUUGCCAAUCGCCCGUUCUUGAUUUCCUUCACCUUCAACUCGGCGAAGGUGUCGGGGUCGUCGGCCAAGCCCAAGGGGUCGAAUGAACCUCCUGGGUAGAUGGGGUCCGUCACCUCACCCAAGGGACCACCGGCGACGCGGUAACCCUCCACGGCUCCCAUCAGGAUCACCUGGCAUGCCCAGAUGGCCAAAAUGCUCUGUGCGUGCACAAGGCUGGGGUUGCCGAGGUAGUCCAAACCUCCCUCGCUGAAGAUCUGGGCGCCAGCCUUGAACCACACGGCCUCUCCGAACUUCACACCGCUCUUGGCCAGGAGCUCAGGGGUCAAGCACCCCAAGGCUCCGAGCAUGGCCCACCGGGCGUGGAUGACCUCCAGCUCGCGGUUGCGGGCGAACGUCUCGGGGUCGGAGGACAAUCCAGCGGUAUCCCAGCCGUAGUCACCAGCGAACUCACCAUUCAGGUACGAGGGGGUCUCGCCGGAGAAUGGGCCCAGAAACUUGGGUCGGUCAGCGCCAUACCUACACCAAUCAGUCACAUCGCCGACUGAGUAAUCAAGCAUCGCAACCUCUGUUUGCACAAACCACUCGCAUGUCCCCGAACAAACAUAACACCAACCAGCACCCUUGACACACUCUCCAUAAACCCGGCAUUGUGUCAUCAGCACUCGCAUAACACCCAUCUACCAGACUCACAAAAACGCGAAGCUCACCAGAUGCUGUCAGACCCAGCGGACUUGCGCAUGGUGACGCGGGCCUCAUUGGCACCCACCCUGCGGGACAGCUCGUUCACGGGCUUGAGCAAGCUCUGCCCAGCCAAGGCGGUAGAAGCGCAGGCGGUAGCGGCAGCCAUGGCUGAAACACACAAUGCACAGCGAAGCUAUCACGAGAUUGACACACCGGAAGUGCAAGCCGCUGCGAGUCAAUAACUACAGUUGGAGGCGGGAGGGGCAAUUAUAGCACAGAUGGAGGGGCAGGACACAGCAGGAUAAAAGGGCAGCAGGAGCACUUAUCGGAUAAGACGAUAUCGGAACCCGGAUGAGCGGAGGUUCAUGUCGUCAACUUAUUAGCUCGAUGCGGUCCGGGCCAUCUCCGACCAGGGAAUUGGAUUCCGCCCGAGGCACGCUCUUCCACGUGACGCUCGCCAUCUAAUUGCGUGGUGGGUUGCACCGCUCUUGCUUCGCCGCUAGACUCCGUUUACCGGCGGUCUUGAGUGCGCUACUCGUUUUCCGAGCCAAUCUUUCAUUUUAUUUAAGUUAUGUAUGUUGUUCAUUUGUAUUCUUAUACGCUAGCACCUCUUCUGUUUGCCAGUGUGUUCCACAGAUUUAGAUGAUCAUGUCGCUAGUGCAUGGUCUGUAUAAGCAAUAGCAUGUGGUUUUGAUUCUUGCAAUUUUCGCUUGUUUCUAUAAGCGUGACGUGAACUUCAAUGGGUAAAGGAAUCAUUAGGUGGACACCUCGUCUUACUGUAUGGACAUUCUUCUUUUGUUGUUUGGACACCUCUCAUGCCACGCACUCCUUCAUAUUCACAACAGAUCUCUUACUUGCACUAAAAAGUUUUAGGGUAUGUGUAUAGUAAAAGAUUUUUUAUGUAAAUUUAAUUAGCUUUUUAAAUCAAAUUAAAGAAGUGUAUAAAAUCUAUUAUGAAAUUGAUUAAAAUUUGAUCAACAAAAUAAAAUAAAUAGACAAAUAAGGAGAAGAUGAAAUGAAUUGCAAUGAGCCAUUACACACAAUUCUUUUACUGUGUACUUAUCCUAAACACUUUCAAUGUAAAGAAGAGCUUUAUUGUUUAUGUGGGGGAGAUGUGUGACACAAAGAGGUGUCCAUGCAAUAGAAUGGGGUGUACACCUAACAAUUCCCUUGAUUUAUGUUGAAGAUAUUACAUAUCAAUUAUAUAUAUAGUAUUGUUGUUGGUAGAAUAUACAAGGAAAUUGAAAUCAAAAUUAGUGCCCAAAAUUCUCUAUAUGUUUUUGGAAUGGACGUAUGUACAAGCAUAUGUUAGUUCUUUUAAAGUUUUCAUAUCUAUGGUGAGGAUGAAAUAUGCCAUUGUAUAUGUCAAUGAGGUAGAAAAAUGCAUCUUAUGGCAAUAUAUUUACUAAGUGAGUUUUUUUUUUUUUAUGAAAAAAUAAGAAAUAAGAAAAACACAUAUUGUGUUGGUAUUUGUCUAUAUUUUGUUUGUUGAAAUUUAUUCAUAUAGUUUUGAUUUUUUUACUAUUAUUAUUUUUAAAAUUUUGAAAUAUUAUAUAUAAAAAUAAUAACUCUAUCAUUUAUGAAAAUAAUAAGUCUAUUAUUUAUGAAAAUAAUGAAUCUAUUAUUUAUGAAAAUAAUAAAUCUAUUAUUUAUGAAAAUAAUAAAUCUAUUAUUUAUGAAAAUAAUAAAUCUAUUAUUUAUGAAAAUAAUAAAUCUAUUAUUUAUGAAAAUAAUAAAUCUAUUAUUUAUGAGCAUAAUAAAUCUAUUAUUUAUGAAAAUAAUAAAUCUAUUAUUUAUGAAAAUAAUAAAUCUAUUAUUUAUGAAAAUAAUAAAUCUAUUACUUAUGAAACUAAUAUCUACAUUAUUUAUGAAAAUAAUAUCUACAUUAUUUAUGAAAAUAAUAUCUACAUUAUUUAUGAAAAUAAUAUCUACAUUAUUUAUGAAAAUAAUAUCUACAUUAUUUUUGAAAAUAAUCACUAUAUUAUUUAUGAAAAUAAUAUCUAUAUUAUUUUUGAAAAUAAUAUCUAUAUUAUUUUUGAAAAUAAUAUCUAUAUUAUUUUUGAAAAUAAUAUCUAUAUUAUUUUUGAAAAUAAUAUCUAUAUUAUUUUUGAAAAUAAUAUCUAUAUUAUUUUUGAAAAUAAUAUCUAUAUUAUUUUUGAAAAUAAUAUCUAUAUUAUUGAUGAAAAUAAUCACUAUAUUAUUUAUGAAAAUAAUAUCUAUAUUAUUUUUGAGAAUAAUCACUAUAUUAUUUAUGAAAAUAAUAUCUAUAUUAUUGAUGAAAAUAGUAACUAUAUUAUUUAUGAAAAUAAUCACUAUAUAAUUUAUGAAAGUAAUCACUAUAUUAUUUAUGAAAAUAAUCUUUAUAUUUUUUAUGAAAAUAAUCUUUAUAUUUUUUAUGAAAAUAAUCUUUAUAUUUUUUAUGAAAAUAAUCUUUAUAUUUUUUAUGAAAAUAAUCACUAUAUUAUUUAUGAAAAUAAUCACUAUAUUAUUUACGAAAAUAAUCACUAUAUUUUUUAUGAAAAUAAUAACUAUCUUAUCUAUGAAAGUAAUAACCAUAUUAUUUAUGAAAAUAAAUACUUUGUUAUUUAGAAAUUACUUCAUUACUUAACCAUAUUGAAAAACCAAAAUAACAGGUUUUUCUUUUCAAACUGAAAUCUUCUAAUGCAACCAAGUAGCAAUGCAUUUUUGCAAUUUACUACUGCUAAGUGCAAUAAAAUUGACAAUAAUUGAUUUUAUAAAGACAAUUAGAGUUGUUUGAAUAUGUUUACUAAAUUAAAUUAGUUCUCUUCUGGUAGUAGAUCCUUCAAGUAUUAAAGAAAUAAUGAUUUUCUUAUUUGAGAAGUUGGAUGGCAAUAGAUCAAAGUUUCAAUGAUUUGUCAAUCAUGUAAAAUUGGUGAUUGAAUCUCAAUCUCAAAACUAUCCAAUUUUACAAUCACAAGUUAUAUUUAUAGAAAGACUAUUUUUUUGUUCUACUUUAUUAUAAUUUUUUCUUAUCUUAAACAACAUGAUUCAAUAUUGGAUAAUUUAAAAGUUUUUCUAAACAAGGUUUUAAUCCAUAUAUGAAAAACAUAAUGUAAUAUGUAUUAUAAUCAAUAAGAUUUAUAUUUUGUAUUAAAAAAAUCAAUUAUUAAUAUUAUAUGCUUCACAAUUUUAAUAAUUUAUGACUGAUAUUAGUUGAGAUGAUACUUUAUUUAUUAAUAAUUAUUUUAUGGAUUAAAAUAUGAGGUAAAAAAAUUGAUGUUGAAUUUAUAUAAUCCUUAGACAUUAAGUUAUGCAUUUGAAUUUGCUGUGAAGUAUAACAAUUGGAUUUUUUAAACUUUGACCUAAAAAUUGCAAAAACAGGCAUCAACCUUUUUAGAAUUUAAUAGCAAUAUCAAUGUCUUUAGAAUAGAUAUUUUUUUAGAAUCUAUUAAUCACAAGGUAUUUGCUUUUUUAGAUUUAGAAGCUUUAACUUGUUUUAUUAGAUGGAAAGUUUUUUAAAAGAUACAAAAUAUGCUUAAUAAAGAAAACUAAACUUAUGCAUGUAGAAAUCAUAGAUGGUUGUCCGUUGUCUUCUAGAGAUGCUAUUCAUAAAAUACUUUGUAAGGAAGUAGCAAUAAAUGGUUACAAUAGUGUUAUUUAUACCAAAUCUAUUUUUAAUAGUAGAAAGACUUCAAAUGGUAUUCCAAGUCAAUAUAAAGAUUAACAAGAUGUUAUUAAAAAGAAUAAUGCAAAUAUGUUUUCAAAGAAUUGUUCUUAUGACUACUCUAUUGACCUUUAAGAGAAAGUUGAAUCAACAUUUAGACCAAUCUAUAGCUUAUCACAAAAUGAGUUGACUAAAUUUAAGGUAUAUAUUGAUGAGAACUUAGCCAAGAACUUUAUAUGCUAUUCAAAAUCUUUAUCAUGAACUUCUAUCUUAUUUGUAAACAAAUAGAUAGAUCAUUACAUAUGUAUGUAGAUUAUUGAUAACUUAAUAAAAUUACUAUUAAAAAUAAGCAUUCUUUAUCUUUGAUACUAAGAUUUUUUAUUAGAUCUAUACAAAAAUAGAUCUAUAAAGAGCAUAUAAUUAAGUACAUAUUAAAAUAAAUAAAUAAAUAAAUUGAAGACUAUGAUUUGAAUCAAGUAUGGACAUUUUAAAUACCAUAUCAUGUCUUUUGGUCUCAAAAAUAUAUUGAUUCUUUUUAAUAUCUUAAAAAUGAUGUUUUCUGAAAGUUUUAAGAUAUUUUUUAUUUUUUAUAUAUACAAAUUUGAAUAUAUUCUAAAAAUAGAAAAAUUAUAAAUUUUAUAUAUAUCAUAUAUUAAAAAAACUUAAAAAUAUUGGACUAUAUGCCAAGAUGGAAAAGUAGGUAUUUUAUACAACUCAAGUUGAUUUUUUUGGAUAUACCAUUUCAAAAGAAGGUAUUAUAAUAAAUUCUAAAUAAAAUCAAACUAUUAUAGAUUAGAAGGUUCCUAGAAAAAUAAAAGAUGUUAAAUAUCUUUUAUAAUUUACAAAAUAUUACUAAAUCUUUAUCAAAAAGUUUUCUCAAGUUGUAGCUCUACUUAUGAAUUUGACUUGUAGUAGAAUAAAGAAAUUAAAGUAGUAUUUAAAGCUCUAAAGACAGUUUUUACUUUGACAUCAAUCUUACAUCAUGUGGAUUUUUUUUAAGUAUUUUUUUUUAAUAAAAAUAGGUAUAUCAAAAUUUACCUUUGGUAUAAUAUUAUUAUGUAUGGGAGCAAGUAACAAACUUCAUCAUAUAUCUUUUCAUUCAAAAAAGGUUUUAGCAAUGAAGAUUAAUUAUGAGAUCCUUAACAAAGAACUUUUUGUAAUUAUAGAUUCAUUUCAAGAAUUACAUCAACAUCUAAAAGACACUUUCAAUCAAGUAGUUAUUUAUACAAAUCACAAGAACUUCAAGUACUCAUAUAAGCAUGGAUUUUAAAUGGUUGCCAAAUAUAAACUAAAAUAAAAUUCCAUUAGCUCGUAGAUUAUCCUAGGUCAUAAUAAUUUUAAUUAUCUUUUAUAUUUAAUUAUACAUAAUUAUUACUUAAAAUUCUUGUCAAAAAUUUCUUUAAUACUUCCAAAAUAAUUCAUUUUUGUCAAUGCCACCACAAGAUGCUUCAAAUUGGUUUUGUUCUCUACAAUGCACUUAAUAUAAUAUUAUUACUUUACCCCAAAACAUAAAAAUUAAAUUUUUCUUAUAGAUAUGUAUUUAAGUACAAGUUUUUUUAUUAGAUAUGUAUUUAUGUACAAUUUUUUUAAAUCUAAUUAUAAAUAAAUACAAAAAUUUAAUAAAAAAACAAACAAAGUACAUACAAAAAAAAUAAAAAUACAAAAAAUUAAAAAAUCCUUUUAAUAAUAUCCAUAUUUAGAUAUAACUUUAUGACUAUUACUGAUACAUAAAUUAAUAUAUAGUUUAAUUAUAAUGUAAUUUUAAAAAAAUAUUGUUAUUAUUUUUAUAUAUAAUAUUUCAAAAUUUUAAAAAUAAUAAUAGUAAAAAAAUCAAAACUAUAUGAAUAAAUUUUCAACAAACAAAAUAUAUACAAAUACCAACACAAUAUGUGUUUUUCUUAUUUCUUAUUUUUUCAUAAAAAAAAAAAACUCACUUAGUAAAUAUAUUGCCAUAAGAUGCAUUUUUCUACCUCAUUGACAUAUACAAUGGCAUAUUUCAUCCUCACCAUAGAUAUGAAAACUUUAAAAGAACUAACAUAUGCUUGUACAUACGUCCAUUCCAAAAACAUAUAGAGAAUUUUGGGCACUAAUUUUGAUUUCAAUUUCCUUGUAUAUUCUACCAACAACAAUACUAUAUAUAUAAUUGAUAUGUAAUAUCUUCAACAUAAAUCAAGGGAAUUGUUAGGUGUACACCCCAUUCUAUUGCAUGGACACCUCUUUGUGUCACACAUCUCCCCCACAUAAACAAUAAAGCUCUUCUUUACAUUGAAAGUGUUUAGGAUAAGUACACAGUAAAAGAAUUGUGUGUAAUGGCUCAUUGCAAUUCAUUUCAUCUUCUCCUUAUUUGUCUAUUUAUUUUAUUUUGUUGAUCAAAUUUUAAUCAAUUUCAUAAUAGAUUUUAUACACUUCUUUAAUUUGAUUUAAAAAGCUAAUUAAAUUUACAUAAAAAAUCUUUUACUAUACACAUACCCUAAAACUUUUUAGUGCAAGUAAGAGAUCUGUUGUGAAUAUGAAGGAGUGCGUGGCAUGAGAGGUGUCCAAACAACAAAAGAAGAAUGUCCAUACAGUAAGACGAGGUGUCCACCUAAUGAUUCCUUUACCCAUUGAAGUUCACGUCACGCUUAUAGAAACAAGCGAAAAUUGCAAGAAUCAAAACCACAUGCUAUUGCUUAUACAGACCAUGCACUAGCGACAUGAUCAUCUAAAUCUGUGGAACACACUGGCAAACAGAAGAGGUGCUAGCGUAUAAGAAUACAAAUGAACAACAUACAUAACUUAAAUAAAAUGAAAGAUUGGCUCGGAAAACGAGUAGCGCACUCAAGACCGCCGGUAAACGGAGUCUAGCGGCGAAGCAAGAGCGGUGCAACCCACCACGCAAUUAGAUGGCGAGCGUCACGUGGAAGAGCGUGCCUCGGGCGGAAUCCAAUUCCCUGGUCGGAGAUGGCCCGGACCGCAUCGAGCUAAUAAGUUGACGACAUGAACCUCCGCUCAUCCGGGUUCCGAUAUCGUCUUAUCCGAUAAGUGCUCCUGCUGCCCUUUUAUCCUGCUGUGUCCUGCCCCUCCAUCUGUGCUAUAAUUGCCCCUCCCGCCUCCAACUGUAGUUAUUGACUCGCAGCGGCUUGCACUUCCGGUGUGUCAAUCUCGUGAUAGCUUCGCUGUGCAUUGUGUGUUUCAGCCAUGGCUGCCGCUACCGCCUGCGCUUCUACCGCCUUGGCUGGGCAGAGCUUGCUCAAGCCCGUGAACGAGCUGUCCCGCAGGGUGGGUGCCAAUGAGGCCCGCGUCACCAUGCGCAAGUCCGCUGGGUCUGACAGCAUCUGGUGAGCUUCGCGUUUUUGUGAGUCUGGUAGAUGGGUGUUAUGCGAGUGCUGAUGACACAAUGCCGGGUUUAUGGAGAGUGUGUCAAGGGUGCUGGUUGGUGUUAUGUUUGUUCGGGGACAUGCGAGUGGUUUGUGCAAACAGAGGUUGCGAUGCUUGAUUACUCAGUCGGCGAUGUGACUGAUUGGUGUAGGUAUGGCGCUGACCGACCCAAGUUUCUGGGCCCAUUCUCCGGCGAGACCCCCUCGUACCUGAAUGGUGAGUUCGCUGGUGACUACGGCUGGGAUACCGCUGGAUUGUCCUCCGACCCCGAGACGUUCGCCCGCAACCGCGAGCUGGAGGUCAUCCACGCCCGGUGGGCCAUGCUCGGAGCCUUGGGGUGCUUGACCCCUGAGCUCCUGGCCAAGAGCGGUGUGAAGUUCGGAGAGGCCGUGUGGUUCAAGGCUGGCGCCCAGAUCUUCAGCGAGGGAGGUUUGGACUACCUCGGCAACCCCAGCCUUGUGCACGCACAGAGCAUUUUGGCCAUCUGGGCAUGCCAGGUGAUCCUGAUGGGAGCCGUGGAGGGUUACCGCGUCGCCGGUGGUCCCUUGGGUGAGGUGACGGACCCCAUCUACCCAGGAGGUUCAUUCGACCCCUUGGGCUUGGCCGACGACCCCGACACCUUCGCCGAGUUGAAGGUGAAGGAAAUCAAGAACGGGCGAUUGGCAAUGUUCUCAAUGUUCGGGUUCUUCGUCCAGGCUAUCGUCACCGGCAAGGGACCCCUGGAGAACCUGAACGACCACCUGGCUGACCCCGUUGCGAACAACGCAUGGGCAUACGCCACCAACUUCGUUCCCGGCAACUAGAUGUAUGAUCCGUCGAAGAGAUGACGGCUGAGGCGCAAGAUCGCCUUGCAUUCUGUACCAUAGAGGAGUAAGUGUUGCAAAUUAUUGGCGGUUGGGUGUUUCCAGCCACGCUGGUUCAGUAAAGGAUGAUUACACAAGAAUGAACGUGUUUUGGUGUGCCACGGGAGACGCUGAUCCCUGAAAUGUCGCAACGUUGGUGUUCGGAACAUGUGAUGACGAACGGUUGUGUUUACUCCGUGCGUCACCUUGCUUCGACACAGUGUCAAGGCCAGUAGCAGAUGGUAGAAUGCGGAAGAGUCUGUCUUGCAGUCGGAUACAUGAAUGCAAUCCGACUUACAGCGGGUUUGCAGCAACUUCUGUUCCUAGCGAACGAGCAGGGAUUGUGUUGGUUGAAGGUGAAAAUGAGUGUCAAGUUUUUAUGUGAAGAGGGACUGUGAGCAGACAGAUUUUCUCUAUUCACGGUUUUGAGGAAAGAAAUUAAUGUGUCCGUUGUCGGAGUUUUCGUGCUGGUUGUGCACCUGGUUCUGAGAAUUACUCGAUUUGUCAUGUUCAAUCCUUGUAUGAAUUAUCGCUCAUUAUGUUUACUAUCCUUUUUGAAAACGUGUGAGCGGAAGAAUUGAAAUCGAGCGGCACUUGAAUGUAGAAGUUAAUAUGAUUCAAUUCAAGGAGGAGAAUCUCUGUAGUCUUGCAAUAUUCACGGUUUUGAGUAAGGGAAGAGUAUUCUUCGUCAUGAACACUGAUGUGGCAGUUCACCGGUGUGCCGUUGAAAGGGUGUUGCUGAAAUGAACUAACGGCCAACUGUUCAGUUACUCUAUACAAUUUUUGAAAAAAUCUUUUUGUUUAUGGUUAUAUGUUAUGAAUAUACCCGAAAUAGGAAAAGCACGUAGAGGUGAUUAUGUGUAAAGCGGAAGUGUAAGAAGUAUGCCAAAUAUGACACAUUGUUCUUAAAUGACAAUUGAACGACCUACUUUAGAAGCUUGUUUACUACAUUGUAGCGGGCAUUCUCCGUUGAUACUCUUCAAACUGACGAUCGUACAUCAACAGGCAGUAACACCGUUUAUGCUUUUAAUUCGAUCUGCUGUUGUACAAAACAUAUUGUCUAACCAAAUUAAAAGUAAUGUCUAAUGUAAAUGUUCGAAAAUUCUAAGCAAAUUAUAUUAAAUGUCUACACAUUAUUGAGUUGUAACAGACCACAAAUCUUAUAAUUAAAAAAUAACAAUCUUGCUAUGUUCUAAAAAGAAUCAUAUUUUAUUUUUUUUCAAAUUAGAUUUUAUGUAUAUGUAUAUAUAUAUAUAUAUAUAUAAAUUUCAAAAUUUAGUAUUUUUAAUGCAUGAAAUGUUAAAUUGCAGUAAGAUUUCUUCUUACAAAGGUGAACUGAAAAUAAAAAUUUCAAUCAUUGCAACUAUAAAGAAAGAUAACAAGAAAUGUUUAAGCACACUACUAAAAAACAAUCUAAAUUUGUUUUGCAAUUUUAUAGCUAACUUUUAGUACAACCUCAAAACCUAAAAACCAGUUGCCUCACAUGUUAUAAUUUGUAGACUACACUUACAAGUUAUAAGAUUUGCAAGUAUAAUGUAGAAAGGAAUAAGAUUAGUUUUGAAUCAUCCAAUUAGACAUUAACAAAAGAUCUUAAGAUUUAAAUUUGGCAUACACUUACAAACUAGAAAAAACGUAUAGUUUAAAAUGUUUCAUAGUUUUUAUUUAGCUUUCUUAGUUGAUGUGUCACUCUUCUUAUGUGAUAUACAUUAUAGUUCUUUUUUGUGUAUCACUACAUUUUCCUUACAUUGUUACUUCUAGGUUGAUCCUACAAUAAUUUUUAAUUGAUUGCAUUACUAAUCUUUGUAUUUCUUUGUUCUAUUGAUAAUUGCAACAAAGAUUAUUUGAUGUUUUUUUAACCUCUUUUGUUCAAUGCUACAUUUUCUUGUCUCUAUUUAGAAGGAAAAAGAUAAAAAUAAAAAUAAAAAUAUUAUAUUUUACUAAUAAGAUUCAAAUAUUAUUUUUCUAAAGCAAUAACACAUCUCAAAUAAAUAAUACCCAAUUAUUAUAUUUAAAGAUAAUGAUUCUUCUAUUUGACAAAACAAACCUUUCAAAUCACUUUCAAAAUUGGCUUUUGAGGCUAUCUUUCUAACUUACUACUACUUAUUAGUUAGAUUGAUUAGCUACCUAUUAGUGAUCUCAAGAAGUCAUAUAACUAAAUCUAAUGUUUUUAGCACCAUUUCCAUGUCAAUUAGAUGAGAUUAAUAUUAAAAUUAGCUAAAAGUGGUAAAAACAACUAGAAUUUGAAUUAACUAAGCCAACGGACUAUUGAUUGUGCUUUUGCAUGGCAAUCAUUUGAAAUUUUUUAUUUUAAAAAAGAGAAUCCAAACGACCAUAGCUAAAUAACAUUGAUCUCAAUUAAUGCAUUUGGUAGAAUCUUAUGAACUAUACAGACAUCAAUCUCAAUUGCCUUGCCAUCACUUAGUCUUUGGAUAGUUUUUGCACGAGUUGCUAUUCUAACCUUACACCUUUAGCACUUUAUAAUAUCAAUUCAUAUCUUAAGGUUUUUUUUUUUUUUUAUUGAUAAUGAAACUUCUAGCUAUUAAGCAAUCAUCAUGCAUACAUUAAGCCUAAUUUAAUGAACAUAAAAAUUAUAGGAUUUUAUUGUAUUUCAAUAUUGGUUUUACAUGAUGGUCUUAGUAUUGACUCUAAAACCUUAUAUUACUUCAACUAAUCUUUAUAUGUAUCUUUUAAUGGUAUAUUAUUACUUGUAUGAAAUCUUCAAUCUUGUGCCAUAGACUCUAGCUCUUGAGGUAAGACAUUAGUGGUCUAUGUAUUGUUAGAAACAUACAUAUUUACCUAAAUUUAAAUGAAUUAUGUAAAAUUAAGUAGAAGUAAGUAAAUUUGAUAAUAUCUUGUGAAUAAGCUUUUUAGAAGUUAUAUAGAUGCACAUUUGACUUUAUACAUGUCUAUAGGUGAUUAAUAGGUUAAAAACAUAGCAAACAAGUUGGCCAUGUAUUAAUCAUGUUGGCUAUUAGUAGAGGUUUGUCAUGUGGCGCAUAUGUAAAACUUGUCUUACAACUUAGACAUGUGUCUUUCAAAUUAGACAAGUGUUGGAAGUCUUAUAGAAUAUUACCACAAAGCUUUCAAUUAGAUAUUAUAUAUAGUAGUAAAAAUAAAGCCUUUUUCAUUCUUAUCAAUACCUUUCUUGUUUUUAGUCUUAUUUCAAGAGUCUUUAGUCUUCUUGUCUUUGAUAAUAGCCAUUAUAGUUUUAGUAUUAUAGUUUCAGUGAAUAUCUACUCUUUUCUAGUGAUACAAGAGUGCAUUGAUUCUUUGGUUGAUUAUAAUUCAUAUCCUUGAUAAUUUGACAAGAGUAUUUAUUUAUUAUUCAUGUUUUGUUUUUGAAGUGAGUGAAUUAUUCUAUUUUUUUUUGUUGUGUUUUAAAGGUUGUAGAUUAUCUAUCUUUAAACCAAUAUUUGUAUUUGAUACCAAAGGUUGUGGAUUAACCUUUUCUAACUUGACUUAUGGAUUUGUUAAAAUUGUUUGUUAUAAAGAUGGAAGAUAAAUUUAUGGAUGCUACACUUGACAAAAGUGAGAAUAGAUUUGCAACUACUGCAAAUCUUCACAAGCUUGUCAAUACUCUUAGAAUAAUAUUUUUUUGUAUUAUAGUCGACAAUCAUGGAGGUAUUAUUUCUAAGUUUGGAGAAGAAAUUAAUAAUAAAAUCUAAUAUCUAUAUCAUGAAGUUGUGUAGUUAAGAGAUAUAAGUAGAUCAACCUCACAAUUAAAUCCAAGAAGUCUUGCUACUACAAGUUUUAGGAAGAUAAAUAUUAGUAUCUCAAAAAAGUUUGAUGGAAUAAGCUCAAAUUUUUGAGGAUUCCUAUAAUAAGUCUAGUUCUAUUUAAGAUUAUAUUCUUCUCAAUGUCUUGAUGGAUUUAUUCAAGUUGGAUUCAUAGGUACAUUCAUAUCUAAAAGUGUUAUUUUUUUAAUUUUUAUCCUUAAUGGAAAAAGAUUUAAAACUCAUAUAUGAUCUAAAUUUAUUCUUGGAAUUGUUUACAAUUAUAUUUUGAGAAAGAAAUCGAAAAAAUAUAGCAAAAAUAAAACUCUUAUCUUUACAAAAAGGAUUAAAAUCAACUACUAUAUGUAUUGCUAAAAUUCAAAACCUUACUUGAAACGUGGAUUAGAAUAUUAAAGCUUUUAUCAAUCAAUUUCAAUAUGGAUUAAAAGAUAAUUUCAUAGAUUUAUUAUUAAUAAUAUUACAAGUAGAAUUAUCAAUAUAAAUUAUUGGUUAAGCCAUUGUAUGAAAAAAUCAACUUUUUGAAAGACUCUAAGAACAAAGAUUUUAAUGGAAAAGAACAAAUUAAGUUAUGAGAAUAAUUUCUAAAUUUUCAGAAGCUUAUUUGUUGAAGGCAUAACCUAUGAAAAUUGAUACAAUAUAUUUUAAACCUCUUAUUGAGCAAAAAAAGUCUUGAUGUUAUUAAAAAUGAUUGUGCUUAUAUUGUGGAGAAUCUAAGUACAUUACUCAAAAUCGUCCAACAAAGUAACACAAUCACAAAAUGAGGAGUAUGAUUGCUAAAGAUGACAAUGUCUUAGAAAAUAAGUUUAUUAAGUUAUAAUAUGGACAUGAAAUUAGAAUCUUAUGUAAUACAUUAUAAAGUUUUUUUUUUUUUUAGAUUUCUUAGCUUAUUAUAAAAUAGAUUAAUAUUUAAUACCAAAUAAUUAUAAAGCCUUUGACAUAUUAGAUUUAGAAGCCUCAACUUAUUUUAUAUUGAAAGACUUUAUUAAAAAAUAUGAAAUACCUAUAGUAAAGAAAAUUAAACAUGUUGUAAUAUAAUAACAUGAUUAUAAGGUAAAAGAGAAUAAUAUAGGUUUAUAUUAUAGAAGAGAUAAAUUAAAAAAAUAUAAUAAAAAUAUAAUAGAAAAGAUAUGGAGGUAGUAAAAAUAUUUAGUGUUAAUAUUAUGUUUUAUUAUUAAGACUUCUUUCUAGUUUUUUGGCCAUCAAUAAGGUAAAAUAAAAUAGAUUAAAAAAAAAUUAUUACAAGAAGUUUUUAGAAGGGAAUUAAGAAUAAUUUUUAAUUAAAAUCACUCUCAAAAACCUUGAACUUAUUUUGAGAGAAGAUCAAUUGUGAAUAAGAGUCAAAAUCAAACCAUGAGGCACAAAAUUGUGCACCUAUAGUAAUUUUGGAAUUCUUUUGCUUAUCAAAGAAUGAAAUUAGAGAAUAUACAUUAAGAAGGUAGAUGAAGUAUUGAUAUUAAGUAAUUUUAAUGGAUAUUAAGUUGCAAAAAGCUUUUAAAAAAAGAAGAUGUUUUCAGUGAUUUUGGAUUUUGUGAAAUAAUAAGAACUUACAUAUUUGCAAAUAUUUUAACUAUUGUGACAAAUUUAUAAGUGAAUUAUUUUAGAUUUUAAAAUAUAUAUUUUUUAAUAUUUUUAAAAUAUUAGAAAUAAAUAAAACGAUUAUAUCAAUGAAUUUAGAAAUUUGAUUGGAUUUGGAUCUCAAAUAUUUAAAUUUUAGGAUUAAUAAGAUUUUUUGUUAUCUUAAAAAAUCCAUUGAUUCAAUUGAAGAAAAAUUUUGUGAAAGCAUAAUGAUCUUAGAUAUCUAUAUUUUUGUUAGUUUAGAGAUUAAUCAAUUAGUUCACAAAAUAAUAAUCAAUGUUAAAAAAUUAACAAUUAGGUUGGAAAAAAAACAAUUAUUGACAUCCAAAAUUAUUAGGAGUUUUUUUUUUUUAUUUAUUUUAUUUUAUUAUAGGUAUGUUUGAUUUUUUUUUAUGCUUUAUAUGCUUAAUUAUUGAUAUGUGAGAUUUUUUGUAGUCAAAGUCAAUAAUUCAAUUUUUAGUUAUAAGAGAUAUAAAAUAACUAUUGAAAUUUGACUAAGAUUAAAUAAGAACUUAUUUAGAAUUUAUUUGUGGUUUUAUUAGGAUUUCAUUGGGAUUUUUUGGAAGCUAUAUAAGAUUUUGGUUAAAAUUUACUAAAAAUUUUUUUAGGAUUUUUAAAAGUAUUUAUUAGGAUUUUAUUAGGAUUUUUUCAAGACUAAAUUAGGAUUUGGUUAGGAUUACUAGGAUCUAGUAAAGUUUUUUUUUUAGUUUUAGUAUUUAUUUAGAAUUUUAAAAAUAUUUCUUUAAGAUUUUUUUUAUAAUUUUUCAAAGUUUUUUUUUUAAAACAUUUAAAUUUUCUUAAGAUUUUAUUAAGAUUUUAUUAGAAUUGCUAAAGUUUAAUUAGGAUUUAUUUAGGAUUCUAUCAAAUUUUUUUAGGACCUUUGUUGUUGGAAUUUCCAAUUUAUCUUCCUUAGCCAAGUGCUUGGUGCAUUUUCAUGCUAGAAAGCAUAUUAUACUUCAUGUAUGUUGAAGUCUUAGAAGGUCAUUUAUUGUCUUUCAAAAUUAUUAUCCAUGAAACCAUUUCUAUAGAUGUAGCAAUAAAUAGUCAUAAUAGCUUAGUCAUAUUUAAUGUCAUUAGAUCUUCUUUUAAUCUAAUUAUUUUAGGUUUAUCAUAGCUAAUGAAGUAAUAUCUUUAAAUAGAUUGAAUUUUUUAUAACCUUGAUUUAUUCUUAGUAUAAUCUAGACUUUUUUUUUUUUUUUUUUUUUAUCUAAGUAAAAAGUCAUAAGUCUAAAACAACCAAACUCUUAUUGGCAAGUGUAAGAGCUUUCAUGUAUUUUGCAAAGAAAGAGUCAUGUUUUGUUAUUUAUGCCACAUUAAUGUUGAUGGUAGAAAGACUUCAAGUUUCAUUCUAAGCUAAUAUAAAGUUUAUCAAAAUAUUUUUGAAAAAAAAAUGUAGGAAUUCAUCUACAACAUUGUAAUAUGAUUGCUUAAUUGAUCUUUAAGAAUGAGCUUAAUUAUUGUUGUGUUGUAGCAUAGCUAAUAGAUAAAAGAAAAAAAAAUAAUAUAUUAUAAUAUAUAUCUAAUUUUAAAAUAUAAUAGAAAAUUACCUUAAUAAUAUAAAUAAUAUUCAAGAAAUUAAUAAAUACUGAUAUCGCCUAAUUAUAAAAUAGACUUCUAUUUACUUUGUAGGACCAUAAACAAUACAGAAAAAGAUAUAUUGGGAAAAGUAGUAUCAUAGGUAUUUUAAGGUAGAAGUAAAUAAUAGAUUCUAAUAAAAUUUAUCUAAAAAAAAAAAGGUGUUUAUAUUUGUGAUUAUCGUUUUACUUAUUCCGGAAGAAACCUCCCAGAAUAAAUCCGUAUAGGGGAAUUUGAACACAGGGAAGGACCAUGUAUAUGAGCUCCAAUUGUUAGGGUUACUCAAUUAACCGCUACUACUGAAUGCUUACCAUACCGAAGAACACUUAACUUUUCUUCCUACUGUCCACUCUCUCAUAUCAAUAUGAUAACAACCAUGACAUCGAUUUCAGUACCCCGUGUAAUUCACAAACACAUGAACAUAACCCAAACCCUGGAAGGAACAACUUCCAAUCCACAAAAUCUGAUCGAGAUAAUUCCUUCGAUUACAACUCCUCUCCAUUGAACUUAUAAGCUUAUGAUAAACUGUGACUAGAAACUUCCAUACAUCAUCAAUCUUUCAUAACAAUUGAUAAACAUUGAUCCAUAAAUAACUUUAUAAAUCAAACAUUGAUAUAUUAAAUUGAUUCUUUUCACUAGAAUCAACACUAACACAAAAAAAACAAGAAAACUAAGAAGAAGAGAUAGCACCAAGCUUAUUCCCGGCUCAGUACUAUUCCAGUAUGGCAUUUUCUUCCUCUCUCCCAUCCUCCUUAUACUACCUAGAGAUACCAACUCCUAUACCAUGGAUGAUAACUAUUUUUUCUGACUAUUCAUCUAUUCUACCUAUUGAACCAUCUUUUUAGCAAUUAUCUAUCCAUGUUUACACUAUACACUCGGUAUCUACAUUUUGAAAAUAACUACUUCUUCUACAUAGCCCCACUCUUAACUAUACAGCGUCCCCACAAACACAAUAUUGAUAAAUAAAAAUCUUUUUUUUUU
rnacentral:lncRNA from 1 species